rnacentral:lncRNA from 1 species
AAUAAAAAUUAAAAAUUUUAAAAGUUUACUAUUUAGAUAUUAGCUAUUCAGCUUAUCCCAAAAACCAAUAAUAUAGAGAAAUGACACUGAUCCACCCGAAUAAAAUAAAUUUCAAAAAUUUAUAAUGUUUUUUUGUAAACAUUUUGAGUGCCAUAAAACGCGCUACGAUGGUUUAAAUGUUUACGUAAAAACUUACAAAAACUUAUCUGAUGAACUAUAAGCUACCCAACUUUUCAAAAUUGUAAUUUUAGCGUAUAAUCUUUCAAUUUAUUUAAUUUGAAUUAGACAGUGUUAAAAUCGGAACGGCGAUAAAUAGAUUCAGAAAAUAACUUAAUGCAGAAAAAAAAAAAAAAAAGAGGAAAAAGCACACCGAUAUUUUACAUGGUUCGGCCAACGGACUACCUCCACGGACGAAGAUGGAGCAAAUACUUUAUUAAUGUCGAAAGGCGGAGUACAAAGAAGACCUUUCAAGAAAUCAAAACUUAAUUAGAUCGGAAACGCCGAAAUCCGCAUCGGUACAAGCGACUCCAAAUAAGUGGCUCGGCUCCUCUCAGCCGUACGGACAAUAACUCUUCUUAAUGCUCACUUAAUUAAUUAGCAUGGCUCUUAAUUGGGUCGCCGCUUCAUUAAUUUGACCAUAGCAUGUAUAUAUAGUACAUGUCUCCUAAGUAGAGUCUAAUCCUAAUUCAAUUAGAAUUACACUCCUAUUUAUAAUCCAUAUAUAUCAAAUUAAAUCUAAAUUAUAUCUAAUUUUAAUUAAAUUAGGAUUUAACUCUAAUUUAGGUAACUACAAAUCAAACCAAAUGUAGCACACAGAGAUACUUUGACUUUAAAUUUUAAGCUAAUUACUUACACUAAUAAAUUUAUAGUUGCGAAAAAUUACGUAAAAUAUACUGACUAAAUCUGUAAACAAUAUUUUCAAAAUUGAGAAUUGUUAUUAUUAUUAUUAUUAUUAUUUUGCGGGGUGGGGUGCAUGAGAUGUGUGGAUGCACCAAGCAGAGACAACAAUCUCUGUGGGAGCAGCAAAACCCAGGCACAGUUUUUACAGGCAGGAGCUGAUCAAUUUACGGAUCCAAAUUAGCGGGCCAGGCUUGAAUCCGCUCCCGACCCGUUUGGGUCCGACCACUGCCGCACUACCAGUCCACUUGCACUUAUUAAACGUUCCUUCCAAAUGAUAUGUGGUGCAGAGCCCCUCAACUUUUAUUAAGUUUUUUCUAUUUAAAGCUUUUUAUAUUUCGUUAUAAAAAUUUUAAUUAUUUUACUGCUGGUUUAUUGUUUUAAUUACUGUACUUAUAUAUAUGCCAAGAAGUGAUUAAAGCUAUUCAAAUUAUUAAUAAAUUUGAUUAAUUUUUUUAGUGCAAUUGUUUAAUUCUAAAAAUUUAGACAAUGAGAGGGUUGAGUUAGACAAUGAGAGGGUUGAGUUGAGGGGUAAAAUGACUUAUAAUUUUUUUCUUUUUCCCAAAAUGCCGAUCCCUAUUAAUAUAAUUCCAAUUACAUACUAAUAAUAUCAUUCAUUCAACUUUAAUAAAAUAAAUCAUAACCGUACAAUUUUUAUUUUAUUUUUAAAUUAUCAUAAAAUGUAUUAAUUCUUAGUCAAUCGAUCUAAUCCAAUGACUGACGAAUUAAGUAUCUGUCACUUUUUUUACCUAAAUUGCCCUUAGAUAGUACGUAUCAAAUUUUACUUUUAAUAUGUGUGUCAUAUCUCCUAAUAACCGCCGCCAAUAUAAUAUCAUAUUUUAUCACAAAUAAUAUUCGCAUUUCUUAAAUAUUUUCAUUCUCACACGUAAUAUUCGCCACCUAUAUAAUAUCCAAUCACAUAAUACCUUCCACAUAUAUAAUAUUUAAUCAUAUUUUUUUAAAAGUGAAUAUAUAAAAAUUAUCUCAAUUUUACCUACUAAUAUUUAAAAUAUGAGAUAUUUUUUCAAUAAAAUAUAACAUAUAAAUUUACAAUUUAAAAUUUUAAAUUUGUAGUAAAUAUGAUUCACAAAUUGAUAUUGAUUUGAGAUAAUUAUUAAAAUAAUUAUUGACACAGACAUACCCUUUUUUAGUCGGAAAAAAUAUUGCAUUCUAUUUGCGAGAAUAGAAAAAAAUUUAUACUUAUCCAAAUUUUUGUCAACCGAAAGAUAUUUGCGCGUCCCAUAAAAUAAUAUUCCAUACUUAUCAAAAAAAACGAAAAUCUCUAUGCAACAAACAUUGAAGAUAUUUUGUAUCUACUAUCUCUCAAUUAGCUAACUAAAAAAAAUUAGAUUUAAAAAAAAAUAAUUUAAAUAAGCUUAUAAAAUCAACUUUAAAUUUAAAAUUUGGUUCAUAGUUUCAAAUGUGAAUUAAUAUUUUAAUUCAAAAUUUGAAAUUAAUUAAAAUUUCAAUAUUUUGGGUGUGUAAACAGUAUUUCAAAUUAAAAAUAAUUAAUUAACUUGAAAAUAUAUCAAAUUUGAAAAAUAGAUGGGAUGAUAAAUAAAUUAAUGUCUUUAAUAAUUAUUUAUAUUCAAAUUAUGGAUUCAAAAUUAAUUUCAAAUUUUGAGUUUUAUUCAUAAAUUUAAAUAUGAAUUUAUUAAUUUAAAAUUUAGAAUUACUUUAAAUUUUUAAAAUUUGGAUACAUAUUAAAAAAAUUAAUUUUAGAAAAAAAUUAAAUGAUAAAUAGAUUUAUACCAUUAAUAAUUAUUUAAAUUUAAAAUUAAAUAUAAAUUUAAUUUAAUUAAAUGUUACGUGCAUUGCACGUGCACUAUAACUAGUAUACUUUAAAUGAAGGUAUAAAUCUUAUAUCCUUUUUUAUCUUGUUAAUUUUUUUUUAAUAUUAAAAAUUUUAAAAUUUAGGAUGAAAGGUGUAAAUUAUAUAUUCUUUUUGGGAGUAUAUUUCUCAAUUGAGAGUUUUUGUACAUUUUUAACAACAAUCAAUGAGCAACACACAAAAAAACAUUAAAAGAAAAGGAAAAAAACGUGAUGCCGAUUUACUGAUGACCUGUUACGAAAAGCUUACUUAACGUUAAACCAAAUAACCAUUAACUAUUAUUAUUAUCCGUAACGGUCCUUUAAUGCCCCCGCUCAUUAUUUUUCCUUAAUUUAAUUUUUUCACUCCCCCAAAAGUUCUCGAACCAAUAGAGAGAAGUGAAGGGAGGGAAACCCGUCCAAAACCCCUCUCUCUCUCUCUCUCUCUCUCUGCGCCUGAGCACUGCCAUUGCAGAUCAAAAACAAAAAAAAAAGGAGUAGGAGGAAGAGGAGGAGGAGGAGGAGGAGGAGGAGAAAAGAAAAACACCCACCACAGCAGCAUCACCACCACCACCACCACUAUAACCGCCCCUCUCUCUCUCUUUCUCUCUCAUUCUCUCUACUUUCUCUUCCUACUUUUUGAUGAAGAAGAAGAAGCGCUAGCUAGCUACAGCAAAAGCUAAAGAAGACGCAAACCAAAACUCCUCCAUUAAUUCCCACUCCAAGAAAAACCUCAUCAAGAGAAGAGACGAUCAUGACCAAACCCUUCUCCUCCCCCUUUCUCGUCGUCGUCGUCGUCGUCGUCAUUAUCAUCAUCCCCACCGUCCUCUUCGCCGCACCUUCACCCGCACCGCCACCGGCGCCUCCUCCCUUCGUCCGCUCGCCGGAGACGCAGGCCGAGAUCGACGCGCUCAUGGCGUUCCGCCGCGCGCUGCGCGACCCGUUCGGCGCGCUCUCCGGCUGGGACCCGUCGUCCCCGCUCGCCCCCUGCAACUGGCGCGGCGUCGCCUGCUCCCCCUCCGGCUCCGGCUCCGGCUCGGCCGCCGUCGUCGUGGUCGUGGAGCUCCGGCUGCCGCGGCUCCGGCUCUCCGGGCCGAUCUCCCCGCGGCUCGGCGACCUCCCGAACCUGAAGAAGCUGAGCCUCCGCUCCAACUCCCUCUCCGGGCCCAUCCCGGGGUCGCUCUUCUCCCGCCUCCCCCGCCUCCGCUCCCUCUUCCUCCAGUCCAACUCCCUCUCGGGGCCCCUCCCGGACUCCCUCCUCGUCGGCAACCUCUCCGACCUCCUGACCCUCAACGCCGCCUCCAACCUCCUCUCGGGGCCCCUCCCCUCCCUCCUCGGCGCCCUGCAGCACCUCCAGUACCUCUGGCUCGACUCCAACCUCCUCGAGGGCACCCUCCCCGCCGCCCUCGCCAACUGCUCCGCCCUCCUCCUCCUCAGCGCCCGCGCCAACUCCCUCCGCGGCAUCCUCCCCGCCGCCAUCCCCGCCGUCCCCUCCCUCCAGGUCCUCUCCCUCUCCGCCAACCGCCUCUCCGGCGCCGUCCCCGCCUCCGCCUUCCGCCUCCGCAUCCUCCAGCUCGCCUACAACGCCUUCUCCGACGUCGUCGCGCCGCCGCCGUCCCCCGGCCUCGCCGUCCAGAUUCUCGAUCUCAAGGGGAACUCGCUCGGCGGGGCGUUCCCCGCCUGGCUCGCCAACGCGUCCGGGCUCACCGUGCUCGAUCUCUCCGGGAACAGCGUCUCCGGCGCCAUCCCGCCGGACCUCGGGCGCCUCGGCGCGCUCCAGGAGCUGCGGCUCGGGCGCAAUUCCCUGAGCGGGGCGGUCCCCGCGGAGAUCGCGCGGUGCGGCGCGCUCCAGGUGCUCGACCUCGAGGACAAUCGGCUCUCCGGCGCGAUCCCUGCGGCGCUCGGGGGACUGGGGAGGUUGAGGAGCGUCUACCUCGGCGGCAACCGAUUGUCCGGGGGCGUUCCUCCCAGCUUGGGCAAUCUCUCCACGUUGGACGCCCUCUCGCUCGGCAGGAACCGCCUGUCGGGGCCUUUUCCGGAGCAGCUGACGCAGUUGAGCAGCCUCUCGUUCUUGGACCUCGCCGGCAACGAGCUCUCGGGCGAGAUCCCGAGCGGCAUUGGGAAUCUUUCCGGAUUGCUGAGCCUGAACCUGAGCAAGAACGGCUUCUCCGGCGGAAUCCCCGCGUCGAUCGGGAGCCUCCUCAACCUGCGGUCGCUGGACGUGAGCGGCCAAAGAAACCUCUCGGGCGACCUCCCCGCCGAGCUCUUCGGGCUGCCCAACCUCCAGGCCAUCUCCCUCGCCGAGAAUUCCUUCUCCGGCCCCGUGCCCGAGGGAUUCAGCAGCCUCGUGGGAUUGGAGCUCCUCAACCUAACGGCGAACGGCUUCUCCGGUCCGAUCCCGGCCACCUACGGCUACAUUCCGUCGCUGAGGGCCCUCGCGCUCUCCCGCAACAGAAUCUCCGGGGAGAUACCGGCGGAGCUCGCGAAUUGCUCUAAUCUCACCCUCCUUCAGCUCCGUUCCAACAAUCUCUCCGGGCCGAUCCCCGCGGACCUCUCCCGCCUCGCCGACCUGGAGGAGUUGGAUCUCGGCCGGAACGAUCUCUCCGGUAAGAUCCCCUCGGAGAUCUCUAAUUGCUCUUCUCUCGUCGUGCUGCGGUUGGACGGCAACCGCCUGUCCGGUGAGAUUCCGGAGUCGCUCUCGCGGCUCGCCAAACUGCAGACCCUCGAUCUCUCGGCGAACAACCUCUCGGGCGCCAUCCCCGCCGACCUGGGCCGCAUCUCCGGGCUGGCUUACUUCAACGUCUCCGGGAACGACCUAAGCGGGGAGAUCCCCGGGACGCUGGGGUCCCGCUUCGCGGACCCCUCGGCGUUCGCGGAGAACCCGGAGCUCUGCGGGCGGCCGCUGGAGGCGGAGUGCGGCGGCGCCCGGCGCCGGCGGAAGAGGAAGGAGCAGCGCCUGGCGCUGCUGGUCGGCGCGGCGGCCGCGCUGUUCGUCCUGGUCGUCUGCUGCUGCUGCUGCGCGCUGAGCCUGCUGCGGUGGCGGCACCGGUUCAUGGAGGGCAGGGCGGGCGCGAAGAAGCGGCGGAGCCCCGGGCGGGGCAGCGGAUCGAGCGCGGCGAGCGGCGGGACGGAGAACGGCGCCGGGCGGGGCCCUCGGCUGGUGAUGUUCGGCAACCGGAUCACGUACGCCGAGACGCUGGAGGCGACGCGGCAGUUCGACGAGGAGAACGUGCUGAGCCGCGGGCGGCACGGGCUGGUGUUCAAGGCCUGCUAUCCGGACGGCACGGUGCUCUCCAUCCUGCGGCUGCCGUCGACGUCCGCGGACGGCGCCAUCGUGAUCGAGGAGGCCGCGUUCCGGAAGGAGGCCGAGUCGCUCGGCAAGGUGAAGCACCGCAACCUGACGGUGCUCCGGGGCUACUACGCCGGGCCCCCGCCGGACGUCCGGUUGCUGAUCUACGACUACAUGCCGAACGGCAACCUCGCGACCCUGCUCCAGGAAGCCUCGCGCCAGGACGGGCACGUGCUCAACUGGCCGAUGCGCCACCUCAUCGCGCUCGGCGUCGCGCGGGGGCUCGCCUUCCUCCACGCCUCGGGCGUGGUCCACGGCGACGUCAAGCCGCAGAACAUCCUCUUCGACGCCGACUUCGAGCCGCACCUCUCCGACUUUGGGCUCGAGCCGAUCGUGGUGACCGCCGGGGCGGCCGCGGCGGCCGCGGCCGCGUCGGCGUCGACGUCGACCCCGUCGGCGGCGCCCGUAGGGUCUCUCGGGUACGUGGCCCCGGACGCGGCGGCGGCGGGGCAGGCGACGCGGGAGGGGGACGUGUACAGCUUCGGGAUCGUGCUGCUGGAGCUGCUGACGGGGCGGAGGCCCGGGGUGUUCGCGGGGGAGGAGGAGGACAUCGUCAAGUGGGUGAAGCGGCAGCUGCAGCGCGGCCAGAUAUCGGAGCUGCUGGAGCCGGGGCUGCUGGAGUUGGAUCCGGAGUCGCCGGACUGGGAGGAGUUCCUCCUCGGCGUGAAAGUCGGCCUCCUCUGCACCGCGCCCGACCCCGCCGACUGCCCGCCAUGGCCGACGUCGUCUUCAUGCUCAGGGAUGCCAGCGUCAGGCCCGACUCCCCUCCCGCCGACCCCACCUCCCAGCCUCCCCGCCUGAAUCCAACUUCACUUCCUUCCCCCCCAGCCAACUUCCCAAACUCACAUGAAUUCAUUCCGCCCGCCCGCCCGCCCGCCGUCACUCCCGGCGCUUUCUGGUCGAUAAUUUUUUUUAAAAUUAUUUCUAAAAAUUCUUCUCAUGUACUCACGUUUAGUUUAUUAUUAUUCUUUUUCCUUUUUUCUUUUUCUGAAGUUUCCUUAAUUGUUUCAUUUGGGAUAGGUCGCUGGAAGAGUGGGCGUGGGCCCGUGUGUGUCAUGGAAGUGAGGCCAGGCGCGGGAGGAGGGAGGGGGGGGCGAGGUGCGGGUCAAAUGGAGGUCUCCCGGCCACACCGAGCCUCUCCCGCCAAAAAGAUAGGGCGUGCGCACACGUGGGCGGUAUAAUGGGGCGAGGCUGGGCCCGGAACAAGUAGCCGUUUGGGAGAGAGUGUGUGGGUGUGUGUGUGUGUGUGUGUUGUGGGGGGGGGGGGGGGGGGGGAGAGAGCGAGAGAGAAGCCAGCUCCCACUGAGCAAAGCGCUUCAGGCGUUGUUUUUUGCUCCAGGUGGUGGGGGUUGUCAGUCACAAGAGAUAGCUUUUAUUUUUUGUUCUUAAAAAAGAAAAAAAAAAGCGCUUUUCUUAAACAUGUGGUUGUCCUGUUCCCAAUGAGCGGGGCAUCAUCGUCGAACCCCAUCUCAACGGCUACUGAUGGAAAACAACUAACGAAAGAAGCGGAAAUAUGUUUCUUUCUUUUUUUCCUUUUUUUUUUUUCGGUGGUGCGUGUUUUUUGCACCGUUUCCUCCGCUGAUUAGUUUCUUUCUUCGGCCUCGUAUUUUUCUUUUUUUUUUUUUUUUUUUUGUUUUGUUCUGCAUGCACCUGCUGUCCAUUUCAUGAAUCGCCUUUUUCCCGCUGAUUUUUUUGGCAUCUGGGUUUGGUUCCCGAGAUUCCCGAAACAGGAUGGUCACUGUUGCAUUGUCCCUUCGCUCCUACUUUUUUUUGUUUUUUCUCCCAUUAAUUAAACUUUAUUUCCUUGGAAUUUGAUGCGCUUUAGUUAAUUAAUGAUAGCCCCGUUUGACCCGGGUCACCGUUUGACACAAACUGUCGCAAUAAAAAUAUAUACUAUGAUAAUUUAAGUUUUGAUGUUAUUUAGACCUUUAUUUAUGAUCUUUUGUAGUUGGUUCAUCUAGUAUUUUUUUCUUACUGCGCACGAAUAACUUGUGUGCUCCUCCUUUUGACAUUACUUUUUUUUAAUACCAAUUAAUCCGACUUUUCUAGCAUAUGCAUUGUAGAUUCGUAGGCUGCUUCUUAAUUCAUUGUUAAAAGACAUUUCAUAUUGCAUUUGAGAAUGGCUCUAAAAUCAAUUCAUUAGAAACAUAUGUUAUUAAAAGAAAAGUAAGGAUCUUUUUUAAUUGAAAAGAAACGAUUGAUGAUUUGGGAAAAAAAAAAGCUUUAAAUUGGAAAUGUUUACCCGUAACACUUAACAGAGUAUAGUAAGAACUUCAUUCACACUUAAAUUUUGUUUGGAUGUAUGAAUAUUUUGUUUGAUAUAUGUAUUCUUAAUUUAUUUAAAAAAUAUUUACAUUUGAAUGAUGCAAAAGUUUGAUCAAAUAUUUAGAAUGAUGAGAUGUAUGAAUAUUUUAUUUGGCAUUAAAGUUAUUUUUUUAUAAUAGGAUAAAUCACAUGGUGUGUGAAAUAUGCUAUUCUACCAAAUUGUAGAUAUCAAAAUCUUCUAAAAAGUAAAGAAUUGAAAUUUUUUUACUUACAAUACAAUUUAAAAUUUUUAUAUUAAAUAAGUUAUUGUUAGAUAAUUUAUUUUGUUAUACAAAAUCCAUUGUGGUUCGGAAUUAGAUUGUAUAUGCUCUUUUAAGGUUUAGUUAUGCAUCAUUGAUCACACUCACUGGGAACUUCUUGAUCGGAUAAAAUGUUUACCGCGAGAAUUUUAAAACCCCAAUUGCAUAUUUUCAUAGAGUAGUACUUAUAUACUUGUUAUUUUUCGAUACUGUUUAUUCGUUUCUAUUUAAUGAUUCAGAUUUAAUUUUUUUUUAAAUUAUGACUUGCAAAAUUAAUGCCUAAAUUUAUAAUAUCAAUCAAUCCUUCAAUUAAUGUUUAAAUUAGUGCAAAAUUAAUACUAAAUUUGAAAUAUUAAUCAAAACUUUCUUAAAAUUUUAUCUAGUUUAAUUACAAAAAUAUCCUCACAUGAAACCAUCUUUUAACUUGCUACAUAAAAAAAUUGCAUCUUUAACCUUCAUUAUCAACGGUUAAGAUUUUUUUUUCUAUUUUUUAUAAAAUAAAAUGCCUACUCAUUUCUCAUUUUCAUAAUGCAAAUACAAAAUUAAUAGCAUUAAUAGCAAGCAAUAUAAUAAAAAGGGAUAGACUCAUUCACUCGUAAGAAAUAAGACCAAAAAUUAAUAACUAAUGCAAAAGCAACAAUGUAAGUAGUCUUAUUCUAAUUUUUUAAUAAAAAAGAAAUAAGAUAAUGACUAAAGUAAGCUAACAAACCAAGACUAUAUUACUAGUUACAAUAUUAUAAUAAAAUCAUCUAUAAAUCAAGAAUAUGGGAAAAAAUAUUAAAUUUAAAAAAUGUACCUAGCUAUAAGGAGGGUAUAGGGUUUCUCCUUCUCGUUCUCUCCCUCCUUUAUUAGAGGAUUUAGGGUUAUCCUCGUCCUUCGUGGAAGAGACUAUGCAUCUUUUCCCCCUUCUACUUCUUCUUCUUCUUCUUCUUCUUCUUUGAGGAAGGCUUAAGUGUUGAUAAAAAAUUCAAUAUUUUUGAUAUUUUUAGAUUUAACUAUAUUAGUAAUUUAAAUUUAUUUUUCUAAUAUUAAUUGAUUAGACAUUAUGAUAAGUUCAAAUCUUAUUAAGUGAUUUCUAUUAGGAUUUUUGUUUUAUGUUAAAGCCUAUAUAUCUAUACUAUCUAUACUAUCUAUAAAAGUACGUAUUUCAAAUUUCAGUCUGUCGACAGACCCAUUAUUUGGCGGAAAAAAAAAAAAUCCUCUUUCGAAGUCCAGGCCAAGAAUAAUUAAUUAAGUCCUUUUAUUUUGCUGCAGUUAUUUUAUACUGUAUACUCCUCUUCUCUCCAACAAAUAGUAUAAAAGCUAAGUUGGAGAAGCUUUAUGAUGAAGAAAAAGAUCGUCGGCUUCGCGAUUAAUGACGUAGAACAUGCCAACAUCAUGUUCUCUAUUGACAUCGACAUCGAUAGCUGAUCAUGACUCUAAACAGAAUGAUUCAAUCACAACUUUUGAAGUUUAUAGGAAAGGAUUUCGCUUACUGGAAUAUCCAGAGACAGUGCUUAUUCUAAUCUGGGAGUUAUAGGAUAUUGGAAAAGAUGGUUUCACAAAUGUACCGAUGAGAAGCUCGAAACUCUCGCUCCUGCAAAGAAGAAAACGCUUAACGAUUGCCGAAAGAAAGACAGAAAGAUAUUAUUCUUUUUGUAUUAGGGGAUGGAUGAAGUUAUUUUUGAGAGGCUAUCGAAUACUAAGACAGCGAAAGAGGUCUAGGACAUUUUUGAGAGUUACAGAGGUGCAAAUAAAGUAGAAAAGUACAACUCCAAAAUUUUAAAGGAGAAUUUGAAUUUUUACAGGUGAAUCAAUUAAUGACUAUUUUAGUAGGGUAGUAUUUGUAUUAAAUCAAAUAUGAAUGAAUGGAGAAGAUUGGCUCAACAAAUUAAUUAUUGAAAAAAAUCAUAUGAUUAGUUACUGGCAAAUAUGAUCAUAUCAUAACUAAUUCCAAUUAAGAUGGUAAAAAAUGUAGACAAGCUAACAGUAGAAGAUUUACUAUGAUCAUUCCAAGCCUACAAACAACUUAUAAAACUGAGAAUACAUUGCACACCUGAACAAGAUGUCAAAGUCCAACUGACAAUUAACGACAGAACUCAAAGAGUAAACAGAGAUGAUAGAGGACGCGGCCGUAGUGGCAGACGUGAUAGUGGCUGUGGCAGACGCCGAGGCCAAAAUGAAGCAGUCGUUGGUGAUAUAGAUGAAUCAAAUUCAAACAGAUGAGCAAGAGGGAGAGGUAAUUACCACAAUCAGUAUAGGUAUGACAAAUCUCAGAUACAAUAUUAUUAUUGCAAUAAAUACCAGCGGUAUCAAGCUAAAUAUAGAAGAAAACAAGCACAUGAACAGAAAAAUAUUAAUGCAAAUUUUGUUGACAAUAAGAAUGAAAAUUUUAAAUCUAUGAAUGAAAAUAAUGCACGUAGGCUUUUCGUUUGCAACGUUGUUGAAACACUGAAAAAAUAAUAUAUGGUAUUUAAAUUUAGAUUGUAAUAACCACAUGUGCGGUUAAAGAGAGAUUUUUAUAAAUUUAGAUAAUAAAGUAAAUAUAAUGGUGGAACUGAAAGAUUGAAGAAAAAUUACUGUUAAAAAAUGUAUGGAGAUCUCUUGAACUUUAGGUCAUUUGAAAGCAUGCAAAAGAGCCUUCAAUUCUGGCGAAGAGACUCUUUAGACUUUAUCAAAUAAUUUGAUAAAUCACUGUCCUCAUUUAAAGUUAUUAAUUUACACCAACAUUUUGGUCUGAUAUAAUGCAUAUAAUUUUAUAAAACUUCAAAAAACACAAAUUCUCGGCGAAGCGGCGAACCGGAGGGAGGCGAAGUAACAGGAAAGAGGGCGGAGGGAUAUUUUUGGCAUAAAAAAAUAUUUUAUAACGGAACCUAACGGAUCACUAACGGUAGGAUGUGAAGUGCAUAUUUUUCAUUUUACAAGAAGGCAAAGUGUAGGUUUUUAAAUGACACGAGGAAAAGUGAAAAAUCAAAUUUUUGACAGAAAUUUUUUUUGUAAUUUAGCAAAAAGGAAAAAAAAAAAAAAGAGAAAAAGAAUGAGAGUAGUAUGAUUACAGUUGAAAGGGGAUUGUAAAACUUUGGGCUCCACUUUUUCAAAUGUACUCGUCCAAAAGGCACAUGUAACAUCACCUAACCCGAACGUUUCCCCAUAGUUUUGAGACCAACUUUCAAAAAUCUAUAAUACCGUUUUAAUGCAGUCAUUAAAAUUUGUGUAAGGAAUGAUAAGAACUGGUGCUUUGUGAUUGGCUCCCAUUUAAACGUACAUGCACGGUAUAUAAUAAGAAACAUAGGGUGAAAAAGGCUAAGUAAAAGAAUCAACUUUAGAGAGGCGCAAGCGACACUUUUUACUGAAUUACUGCGGCUGCGGGCCCCUGGCUUUUAACUCGAGCACGUGAUAGAAAAGAACAAAAAUUAUAACCCCAUGCAGUUGAUUUUAGCAGCAGCUCUGAACCCAAUCACCAAUUGCUGAAUUUCUCUUUUCGAUCGGUUGAGGGAACUUAUCGGACAAAGAAUUUCACUACCUUAGGACUGUUAUAUAGUUAUGGUCACUAAUUGCUGCGGCUUCUGUCGUCGAACGGUGCCGCAGAAGUGCUGUUUGAAUAGUGUAAUGUGUAAAUGUUACUGUUUCGGCAACAUCCUUCGUUAGUUUUACACGUGCUUGCGAGCGUCAAAGAUGUAGAAAGUUUUACAGCUUUUGUAUCAAAGAUGUCGAGAGAGUAGUAGUGAGAGAAGAAUGAGAGCGAACAUGACACUCCGACAGUAUCGAUUACAAGAUUGGUGGGAAAUAUGGUGGCUCAUAUCUUGAUCAAGAAUCAGAAGCAUUGUGUCAGUUCUUGUAAACAUUGAACAGCCAGAAGAAGAGUAUCUUAACUCUUUAAGUUCUUCCGUCAGAACUGAAUAACAAAACUGAUCACAUCAACACAGAAAGCCAAGUCCAUGACGAAUUGCACUGAGUAGAUUAAUCUACAAACUUACAGUAUGGCUUAGUUGCAGAAAUUGUCAUGUAAUUCUUCCAAUUUGCUAGCGAAUUUGUUGCUGCUGCACAUCAUUUGUGCUUCAAGUAAGUACCAAACAUAGGGGAUCAGUUCAUGUACAUGCAUUCCAGCCGAAUGGCCAGGAUGAGGUAACUUACUGAAUUUCUGAUGUAAAGCACAUUAGUGUUGACUGAUUAUGCACUAAAAUAUGCUAAGAUUGUCUUAUCGGUUGAAAGAUCGAGGGAUCAAAGGCUUAUUCAGCGCACUCACACUACAGGAAAAAGCUAUUGUAGAGGCGGUUGUUCAAAGACGGUUGUAACAUUCUAUUCUCUAAGUUGUUGCUCAAUUUGUGCUUUUCAAGUUGAAAAUAUAGUAAAAUUUAGAAUCGCCAGUCCAAUCAGCAAGUCUUUGCUAUACAGUACAUCGAUAUAACGGUAUUCGUUAUUAUACAUGGAAAUCUGAGAAUGCAAAUGUAAUCUUUCUUGUACAUGAUACUCAAUCAAGACUCGCGUAUAUUCUGAGUCAAGACCGAGUUUUCGUAAUGCAGAAAAUGUAGGAUAGUGACGGAUGGCUGACAAACCACGCCUAUGAAAUAAUAAUGGUGAAGACAGAUCACGUUGUGAAUUGUGAAUUGUGAAUCAUACUACACAGAAUUCAAAUAAUACAAUCCAUGACCCAAAAACCAAUAAUUAGAGCCAUAACUAGGCUAGCAUACAAAUACCUAAUACUAGCUAGUACCUAAAGUCAAUAUAAAGAUGGACAAAAUGUCUCCCGAAACCCUACUCAUUUGAUUUGCUGGAGAAGCAUAGAGUAUUUGUUGCGUGUACAUAUUAGAAUCUUUGUUUAUUUCGAAGUCAAAAUAAGUUAUCCUUUGUUAUCAUAACCUUUUUUAUAUUAAUCUAAUUGCAAUUAGGCUUUGAUUUUAAUCAAUCCGAAAGUUCUUUGACUGAUAAUAGUUAUAAUAGUUUGAUUUAGAGUUUAGAUAUUUAAUUUAUUUAAACAAAAACAUAAGAGCCAAAAAAAAAUAAAGGCUGAACUAAAUCUUCAUGCAUCUAAUAUGACGCUAUUUUCGACUGUAAAGAUUUCGGUAGAUCCUGUGUACUGUGAACUAGCUUACAUAUUUAUGUCUCUUUCGUAGUUAAAAACGUUAUGGGUCAAAUAAAUAUCUUAAUGCCAUAUACAAAAAACGCCACAUAUACAACAGAUGUUGAUUUGUUUCAUUAUUAUUAUUAUCAUUUUGAGAUAAAGGUAGCAUGUUACCCGCUUCGUUUAUUUCAUUUAGAAAUAAACUUAGCUGGAAAUGUGAAUCAACUAGGAUUCGAACUUAGAUCUCGGGUACCAACCACCAAGCCCUUUUGCCACUUGCGCUAGGGAUGGUCGGUGAUUUGUUCCAUUGUUAAUAAUCGACUCUAACAGUUUCAGUUUAUGAUAGAAUUGUUCUGCAAUUUUCUUGUUACAUCUACAUGUCACAGUAAUGUUCAGUGCUACUACUACCAUAACAUUCUACACUUAGUUUACUUUCUCAUUGUUGGUAGCACAUGACGGACGGACGGAAGAGAGGCCAAGCUUAAUUAACUAGGCACCCGGCCUUGUGACCGUACGGUUCUUGAGGGGGUUCAGAGGCUUAAUUAAUUAGCACCCCGGCCAUAUAGACCAUGCGGUUUUAGGGGUGCAUGGAGGCUUAAUUAAUUAGCAUGCGGCGAAGCUAAUUAAUUAAGGUGGCCGGUUCUCUUCAUGUAUAGCAGUACGGUAGCAAGAGAAGGAGAUACGCAGUAGCACGCAUGCGACGGAUUGACGUUGGCGGCGGAGCUGCGGUUCUAAGAUGCACGAAAAAUAGAGAAAAUCGACCGAACGGUAAAAUAAAUAAAUACAGAAAGAAAAAAUCAAGAUUUACGUGGUUCGGCAAUUGCCUACGUCCACGGGCAGAGCGAGAGAGAUGUAUUCCACUAUAUGAAGAAAUAGAAGUACAAGCUUACACCUUAUGUUUUCUCCGGAUAAAAAACCAAGAACCUUAUGGUGAAUUCCACCUUUCUUGUUCCAACGAAAACUCCAAAAAAAUACCGAAAAAGCUUUUCGUAAAACCGAGAAGACCAAAUUAGAGAAGUAUAGAAACUCUAACCAAAUUCCUUUAUGCCGUUGCUUCGAAGAAUCCGAACCGCUCAGACAAUUGGUCGAGAACCGCCGCUCCUGCUGCCGACUCCGAUCCGACGUCGCAUGCAAAGACGCGGUGCUUCUUCUCUAACCGUACGGACGGAGCCACCUUAAUUAAUUAGGUUCCUUGCUGCCGUACCCUCCGGAAGCUUGUGAAUUAAUUAGCCCGAUGCUAAUUAAUUUUCUCAUACAUGACGCCUCUUCCACGGUUGCAUAGGCAUGCAUGUAUAUAUAUAGGUGCGGUCAACAAGUCAACAAUCCUAAUUAGACUAGGAGAGGACAUGUGUAGAUAAACACAAAUCUUACACCAAUAAAUUGAAAAUCAAUUUGAUGUAAUCCAUGGUCCUAGUCUAUACCAUCUUUUAUAAACCAACUUAAUGGGUUAAUUAAUUUGAUUCAACCCAAGUUCAAAAGAAGGCAUAUUCUUAACACUCAUUACUUCUGUUUAUUCAUACAAUGAUUUGCUUGGUGCACUGAAAAAGGCUUUGAGAUGGCUAUGGCUGAUUUUAGGAGCUAGGUGUCAGAUUUUUCUUUCCUGCAUUUCCAGAAAUUAAGAUUGGUGUGAGAAUGGGUUCAAUUAGGAUUGAUAGGUUUUGAUUUGGUAGAUAAUACUAAUGUCUCCUUUGAGUUGCAUUAGUAAAUUUAUUGAGUUUGGUGUUGUUCAGUUUCCAAAGGUAAUCAAUAUAUUAUGAUUUCGCAUUUUCCUCUUUACUUGCUCAAUUCAGGAACUACAGUUCCUUAUAGUAUGUUAGAAAGGAAAGUAAGUUCAUCUGUAAAUAGACAUAUAUAUAAAUACAAAUUCGAGGAAAGCGAUAUGUUAGAGAUGUUCAUACAUGUUAAGUGUUUUCUAUGCUAUUUCACACUAGCUUAUAUAUAAUCCUUGUCCUAGAAAUAAUGUACCUUAUUUUUUGUUGUAUAAAACAGAUUUGUUCCAAUUGAACUAUUAACUGUUGGUGCAGUUUCUCUACAUUCCCUUGUGUAGGAAAAUCCUACAACACGGGACAAUUUUAUCGCUCAUAAGCACUAUGUUGCAUCUGGCGCAUUUGAUACGGACGGUUCAAAUGCAUUCAACUGUCAACGUGCAGCAGCAUCGCCCCAUCUGUAGGAUUUUUCUGCAUACGGAGUUGCACCUAGUGUUCACUCAUUAAUGUCGGAGUAGCGCAAAUUCAUUAUCCCCUUCCUUUACUUAUAAUUUAGAUUAUAAAUUUGGAAAACAGUUAUUCGGUACUAUUGUUAUAUUUCACAUAUUUCGACUCAUUUGUAUUGAACCAGAUAAAGAUUGAGGAUCGUGGUUUGUUGCGUUAGAUUUUGUCUAACCGUAGAGAUUAUUUUUGUCCGUUACUGAUUUUCAGUAUAAAAAGAACUAGUAAAAAUUCAACGUUGUUUAUUUGAUAAGAAGCCGAUGAUUUUGGAACUGAAGUUUUUUUUUUCACUUUCUGUAUUAAUUUGUUUUAUUGAAAAUUCUCACACAAGCACAAAGAUGGCGAAAAGGUUAUAGAAUUUAAUUUUUUUUUAUAUGUUUUCUAUUUCUGUCUUCUUUGUAAUUGAUUUUGUCACCACCACGAGUAAGUCGAUCACGACAUUAGGAAAAUGCUUAAAUACGAACUAACUUUAUUUAUGGCGAACCAAACAACAACAGUAGACGUUUUUACCAAGAAUUACUUUCAUCCUCUUAACUUUUUGUGAAAUGAUCGGGUGAUCACUUUUAUAAAUAGUUGUGCAUGCACAAAUUAAUAUUACUUAUAUAUAUUUGAUCAUGAAAAAUAAAAUAAAACAUUAAUUUUAUAUAGGUUCCUCCAAAUAUAGUGAAUUACAAAUAUACCCCUACAAAGUUCAACUUUUAUAUAUUGUCCUUACAAAAGUCUUAAUAUUUUUAAAUAUGUCCCUCUAAAUUAUUACCGUUAAACCACUAUUUAUUUUAUAAGUGAAAUAACCUUUUUGUCAUCACAAAUAUGUCUCUCCUAAAGUUUCAACUAUUAAUUGAAGAGGAGAAAAAAGAUCAGUUUACCUCAUUAACUAAUCAGGGUUAAGUAUUUUAUUCAUGAUUAACUAAUUUUUUCUAACUAAUUCUAACGGUUUCAAGUAUUAGAUAAAGAUUCUAAUUUUUUAAUUUUUCUUUCAAUCUUACACUUAUUUGUAAUGCCGACAAUUUAAUAUGCUGUUUGUGAGCCGGUUUGUAUUCGACUUAUUAAUAAACAAACCAAAUAUGAGCCAAAUUUUUUAGUUUAAUAUUUUAACGAGCCAGUUGUGUUUGACUCGUUUACCAAAGGAGCAAAAACAACCCGACUCCAAUUCUCUUGUGCUUCGCUAGUUGGCAGGGCUAAAGGUACCUCAGAAACUGUGAACCAACUUCUCAAAUAAAAGAGUAUCAUUAACAUUCACACGCGAAUCUAUAGCUGCCGUCGCCAAAAGUCAACGAUUAUUCUACUGGCCACACUAGUAGUAGUCAUGCCAGGUUGUUGGUAAACACUCUCGGAAUCGAAGCUCCUCUCUCUCUCUCUUUCUCUCUCUCUGGUUUUGAUUUUUUAGAUCUCACAUAUACCAAAGAUGCAUCUUGUUAUUCCAUUUGGAUGCUAUGUUUUAAUAGUUACACAUGCUGAAGCUGCAAAGGUUUCAGUGUGCGGGUAAAAACUAAUAAAUCAAAGGCAUUUCUCAUUGGGAAAUGAAGAAGACAAAAGCCUGGAGAGUUGUGUGGAACUGUGGAUAGAGAAGAAUUUUUUUAGCCACCGUUGGGUUCCGGAUUAAGUAAAAAUUUAUUAUUUCAGAAAUAAAAUUAAGUUUAGAGUUAAGGUGGAUUAGAGUAAUUUUGUGUUUUACUAUAUAUUAUAUAAAAUGAUAAUUUUACCUUCCAACAACCCCAAAUUUAAUUAACAGUAUUAUUUUUAUCUCUCUCUCGCCUUCCCCCCUCUCUCUCGCACGCCGCUUUCUCUUGCUCUCUCUCUCUCUCUCUCUCUCGAUGUUUCUCUCUCUCUCUCUCUCUCUCUUGCACGAACACCUAUCAUCUUCUAUUGCGUCGUCCUCCAAGGUAAUUAUCAUAUCUCCUUCCCUCCAUUCGUCAUUUCUGCAAAGAAUAAUAUUCAAAUGAUCACAACAAGGGCAAUUUUGAAAAAAAACUAUACUUUUAUGUCAGGAUUACUAAAUUUUAUAAACUGAACCAAAGAUAUUAAUGCUAUAAAUACUGUAAUCUAGUAUUACAUUACUGCAUUAAACCAAACACGCUAAUACAGCAUCAGUAGUAAUCUCACGCCGAAAUCUAAGAUACCUAGAUAUGUCGAGAUACUUUGUAAUAUUAUAACUUGAACCAAACAGGCCUUUAGGGGCAAUUGCUUAUGAAAAAUUUUUGACGUUUUGAUUUAUCUCUUUUAGAAGACUAAUAUUAAAAUAUUCUUUUUAUAUUCUAACUAUUUCAAAUAUACUCCUAGCUAAAGUUAAAUUCCGUUAAUAAACUGUUAGUAAUAGCUGUUAUUUGUAUGAAAUUACUAUUUUACCAUUUUAAAUAUAUUUUUCUACUAUCACUGACUUUUCUUAUUUUUCCUUAAAUUAGGAGUACAAAAAGUAUUUUGAUUUUUGGUAUUUUCAAAUAUACCCUUUUACCAUUCCCAACAUUUUUUAUUUGCCCUUAAGUUAAGGAUAAAAUAAGAAAAGUCAGUGAUAGUAGAAAAAUAUAUUUAAAAUGGUAAAAUAGUAAUUUCAUACAAAUAACAGCUAUUACUAACAGUUUAUUAACGGAAUUUAACUUUAGCUAGGAGUAUAUUUGAAAUAGUUAGAAUAUAAAAAGAAUAUUUUAAUAUUAGUCUUCUAAAAGAGAUAAAUCAAAACGUCAAAAAUUUUUCAUAAGCAAUUGCCCCUAAAGGCCUGUUUGGUUCAAGUUAUAAUAUUACAAAGUAUCUCGACAUAUCUAGGUAUCUUAGAUUUCGGCGUGAGAUUACUACUGAUGCUGUAUUAGCGUGUUUGGUUUAAUGCAGUAAUGUAAUACUAGAUUACAGUAUUUAUAGCAUUAAUAUCNUUAAAAUAUCGAUCACUGACUCAAAUUAAACAAAUGGAAACAUUGGGUAGUAAAAUCAAAAUAUUUAUAAAUCAGUUAGUCGAAUCAAAAUAAUUUAUAGUUUUAAUAAAUUUUAUAUAUUUUUAUUUUUUUAAAAUAAAUCAAAGAGGUACCUCCAAUAAGACAUUUAUGAAUCCAACAAAUAAACCAUAACACCUCUAGGGUACUAAUAUGAAUAAUUAUAGUUACUAAUAAAAAGUACAAAAAGCAAUGCUACAUUUACACCUAAAGAGUCGAUGUGAAAUUUGUGUCCUCUCAAUUCAAGGGCCGUUUUUCACAUUAGUUUUAUUACAUUUUUAUAUAUUUUAAGACUAAAAAUUUUAAAAAAUAUAAUUAUUUUUAAUGGAUUAGAUAUAGAUUUAUAUAUGAUUUUAGAAAAAUGGGUAAGCAGCAUUUUUCAAGGUAAAAUUUCUAUAAAUUUAUUCAUAGAUAAAAUUAUUAUUAUUAUUAUUAUUAUUAUUAUAAGAUAUUUUAAUAUGUUAUAAAAUAAAAUAAUAAUAUAAUCAUAUUUUUAUAUUAUUUUAAUUACUUUUAAUAAGGCAUGAGAAUAGUCUCAUUCAUCUAAAAAGAUAGAAUAGUUACGUUGUUCUCGAACUAUUCUAUAAUCAUUUAGAAUAAUUCAGUUUGACCAGAAUAACUAUUCUCGUUAUUUUUAACAUUAUUUGAUAGAAUAAUAAGAAUAAUAAUUUUUACUGUCCCCUAUUUAUUCCAAAACCAAAUGAAACUUUAGGGUUACUGGAACAUGCGAGAUGGUACUGCGAGGUAUUAUUACACGCAAAAUGCACUCAUACCAAGUAUUAUUAGUUAAUAAAUAAAUUGUCAACUAAGUAACAUGCGUUGGUGAGCUAAUUAUGAGGAAAAUAAAAAGGAACGAGUAAAAAUCCUAGUUACAAGAACAAAUAAGCAAAUCAUCUAACAAAGAAUAUUCAAAAACGGUCGAGAUGCAUCAAUAUCAUGAUCGCAAUUUUUUCUCGGUCUAAAAAUAUAAAAAAUGUAUUCUUUUGCUCUUCACCAAAACGUUAUCUGCCCACAUUAAAGCAAAAUAAUUAAUUUUCUCCAUAAAAAUAAAGUCGAAGCAAGACGCAGCAGCAAACACUCCAUUAUUGCUUUCUCACAAUAAAGUUAAAUGAUGUGAGUUUCACAUUAUUGUUUUAGUCAAAAAAAAGCUUCUCAAUUCCACGCAUUUUUUCCUAUCAAAAUGUAUGAAGAACUUCUCAAUUAAUUGUAGGUCAUUUUAAAAUAGUCCCCUCAACCCUUUUUAACUUUAUUCUAAUUGUGUCCUCCUCAGCUUUUAAUUUCUUUAUUUGGAUUUUUUUUAAAAUUAAGUUAAAAAAUUUUAUCAAAUUUAAUGACUCUAUUAGUUAUAUUAGUUUAUUUGUAAAAUAGUUAUUAAAGUGAUUAAAUUUGAUAAACUUGCCCAUGAAUUUAAUAAAAUCCGCCAUAUUUUUUAACUAAAGUUACUUAAUUCUAAAUAAUAGAAGUUGAGGGGGGUCAUAAUUUUUUUUAAAAAAGUUGAGGGGGCGAUUUCAAAAAGUCCUGUAGUUGAGGCGGUCUCUUUACAUUUUUCAACCCUUAUUAAGCCUAAAUAAUUUUUAGGGCCGAACCAAACCCAGAUAAUAAAGAGACUUAUCGAACUAGAUGGGCUUUCCACAAAAUGUCACCCAAAAUUUUUGGCUUCUAAAAAUGAAUAAAAAUAAAGGUUAUUAUUAUUAAGUCCUAGUUAGAUAUCGUAUUUAUUUUUAAAAUGCAAUUCUUUCAUGUAAUGUCUUUACUUGACAACAAAAAAUAAAUAAAUAUUUAGAGACAACUUUUUUUAUUUCAAUUUUUUUUUUUAGGCCCUGUUGGGAUCUCAGAAUAAAAAAAUCCUAUGGUAACUUAUUCUGCAUAAAAGAUUUUAUUGUGUAAUUAAAAGCUAAUUGCUGAUUUUUACUUCUCGAAAAGUCUUAAAAUUUAUGAUUUGAUACGGUAGUAUAAUUUCUCUAGGAGAUUUAUUUUAUUCCAAAAAAAAUUAAAGAUCAAAUACGGAAUUUCAUUAGAUCGCACUUUUCUUUUUGAGUAAAUCAAAAGGAUACAUAUCGAAUAAGUCCUUAAACAAGUUACCAUCUAUCAUUUAGUCGGAUCAAUCAUAAACUAACCAACUAUAUAUAAUAAUAAAAAAAGAAUUUCUUCUUUCUAUAUUACACUUCCUCCCUAGUGAUCUUAAUCUCUAGAGGCUUCAAUAUAUAUAAUUAACUCGUGUUUUUCUUUAUUUCCCUCUCAAUUAAUUGUUACAUUCAAACAUUAGAAGGCCAUAAUUUAAAGAUUACUUUUCAAAUUUUCGAAGAAAAAAAAAAGAGUUAGGUAAACAACUCUAUAUCUACUACAAAACAACCGGAUCAAAAAAGGCAAAUAAACUACAUGCAUGGUAGCAAUACUAGUGUACUACAAAAAAGUACUACAAUAACUGGUGGGUACAUGUAAUGAUAGUAAAAAUCGUAAACGAUCACUUUCGCUGUGAGUUCGCAAAGUCACGCAUGUGCAUUAGAGACGCGAACAGCCGAGCCCUCGCGCUUAGUAGGCAGGCUGCAAGCCCUCCAUGCUGGUCUAAAAGCGAGCCUUCUCUUGCAGUCUCCUGCUCGAAAGAGUACGGCGGCGACACGCCGCGUAUCUUCCUCCGACAACUUCGACACCCUCGGCUUUCUCGAUCCCAUCUUCAGCAACGGCGCGUCGGGGGUCGGUUCUCGAUCCUUCGACCUACCGAGAAAAGAUCGCGCAACUUACGGAGAGAAGUAUUCGAACAUGUAAAGUACAAGAAGUGUGCAUGCAGUACCUGUCGAAGGCCGAUGUUUUGCUCCGUUGAGGAGUUGAGUAGUCGAAAUGCGAAUGCUGAGCAGCGAGAGCCUUAACAAAGAGAUUAAUAACAACAACAACAACAACAACAAUAAAAAUGUAACCAAAAGGAUUAAAAAGAGCAAACAAAAUUGAUUAAGUAUAUAUAGAGGAAGAGUCUCAUGUACAGCAUUGUGGAAAGUCCUUGAGACUGUGAGCAGUGGCUUCAGUUCAUCAUGGCUUAGUUUGCACAAGACUUGGACCUUCACAUGCAAAAAUAUAAAGAGAUAGAGAGAGAGAAAUGUGAGAGACGGGUUCAAAAAAGUUUUUUUUUAAAAAAAAAAGAAAAAAAAGAAAAAAAAGAAGAGGGGGUUAGGGAAUAGGUUUAUACGAGAGUGUCCAAAGGGAGGGAAUCAAUGGGGGAGGAGGACAUGAGAAGAGAGGGAGAAGGUGAGGAAGAAGCAACCCAUGUGUUCUUUUGGAUUGAGGAGGAAGUGGGGAACGUUGGUGUAAUUGGUUUUUUUUGUAUUUGAAUUUUGUUUCCUAACCGCUGCUGCAGUUAAUUUGUGCUCUGCUUGGGCUGGACCAGUAAAGCCUUUUCCUGCAGUACUCUGUGAAGCCCACUAGCCCCAGGUUUUGAAACAAAAGGGGCGCGACCUAACAAUUUCACCGAGUGAGUGCAUUAGGCUAAGGAUUUGAUGAUUGGUAUUCGAGAUUUCAGAUUAAAAAUUUUGUCGCUUCACAUUUCUAACUGGCUGAGCUCGUUUCUAAAAGAAAUUAAACAACCCAACAAUUUCACCGAGUGCAGAUAGCUAAGGAUUUGAUGAUCGGUAUUCGAGAUUUCAAAUUAAAAAUCUGGUCGCUUCGCAUUUCUAACUAGCUGAGCUCAUUUCUAAAAAAAAUUAAACGAAACAGUAGUUUGGUGCCUUUAUGUCUCUAAAAUUUCUCUACCUUUUAAAUCUGUUUAGGGUUGCCAGGAGAAUGCGUUGCUUGCAACGAGAAAAGUUAGAAAAGUUAUAUAUCUCUGUCCUAACUCGUUUUCAAAUGAUUUGUUACUUGCUCCUGACUGAUUUUCUCGUUAAAAUUGGCUUUCAGUUGGAAUAAAGUUCACGUGAAUUUAUUUUUUAUAGAAAUUCAGCGGCUUCAAAAUUGAAGUUUUUUUUCUUUCUUUUUUUUUAUGUUUGUUUCACUAAAAUUUCUGCACUAGUACACCAGAGGGUGAAAAGAAAUCUUACAACAACUUAUUUUUAUUUUUCUUAUAUAUAUAUUUUUAUUUUGUAAUCGACUUCUCCGUCAACCAGAGCAAAGUCAAUUAAUUGUAGUGUUUUAGAAAAGUUGAGUAAUGGUAGAACUCAAUUCAUACAGAACCAAACAAACAUAGAAAGUAUAUAUUUACCGUCAAAAAUCACUUCAUUCCUCAACAGACCUUAAAUUGCUCCCCGUGCAAAAUAGAAGUUCUUGUGUUAAAAAAAGGGAAAACUUCAAAAAAUUUUCCUGUGGUUUCACACUUUUUUAUUUUAGUACCUUGUGGUUUAAAGUGUAUCAAGUUAGUAUCAUGUGGUUUCUCACUUUAUCACUUUAGUACCCUGUGGUUUAAAAUGUAUCAAGUUAGUACCCUGUGGUUUUGCACUUUAUCACUUUAGUACCCUGUGGUUUAAAAUGUAUCAAGUUAGUACCCUGUGGUUUUGCACUUUAUCACUUUAGUACCCUGUGGUUUCACACUUUAUCACUUUAGUACCCUAUGGUUUAAAAAACCACAGGGUACUAACUUGAUACAAAAUUAAAACCACAGGGUACUAAAGUGAUAAAGUGCAAAACCACAGGGUACUAACUUGAUACACUUUAAACCACAGGGUACUAAAGUGAUAAAGUGAGAAAUCACAGGGUACUAACUUGAUACACUUUAAACCACAGGGUACUAAAGUGAUAAAGUGAGAAAUCACAGGGUACUAACUUGAUACACUUUAAACCACAGGGUACUAAAGUGAUAAAGUGAGAAAUCACAGGGUACUAACUUGAUACAUUUUAAACCACAUGGUACUAAAGUGAAAAAAAAUUGAAACCACAAGCGGGGUUUUUGAAGUUUUUCCUUAAAAAAAAACAAAAAAUCAGGUGUACUUGAAUUGAUUGCUACUUGCACCAGUAAACAAAUUUUAUUGUGCGUAAUUUACUCAGAUGUCUCAUAAUCUUUCUUCUUCUUUUAUUUUUUUCUCACAUAAUCUUUUGCAACUAAUCCAAAAUUGCCAUCCAUUUAGUCAUAAGCAUUUUGAAGUGAUCAGAUACACAGUAACUGCAGAUUUUUGCAGUGUAAUUUAUUGGCGUAUUUUUUUCACCUAUAGCCAAAACAAAGUAGUUAGAGAUGGUGAGUUCACAAGCUUAUCCUCAAUGGAAUUUUUUUCAUUUAUUAUUCUUUUUUAAGAAAAAGAUGCCACCACAAUCCUAGUCGUGCAAGUGGGUCCAACCCUAGCCCUUGAGCAUUUGGAGAGUUGUGGAUGCAUGUAUGAUACUAAUAAGAGUAUCAGAUCAUCUGAUCCAUUUCCAUUAAAUCCUUGGAACUAAAAAACAAAGGGUUUUAGUCGAAGAGAUAACACAGAAACGUCAUCAAUAAUCACCGGCCUUUUCUAGUGAUUGCGAUCACAAUUUCAAUUUUUUUAAGUUAGAGCUACGUUUUACGCCUAUAUUAUCUUCAGAUUUUUAUAUGUUUCGUUCAUUUAAAAUAAACUUAAUUAAAAAUGUAAAGCAAUUAGAUUUUAAACUUAAGAUCUCGUUUAUCAACCAUUAAGUCUUUUGUCACCUGCAUGAGAGAUGGUCAAUAAUUUUAGGUAUGAGAAUUGCAUAUGUUUGAGAGGAUGUUCAAGCACUAUAACAGAAUUAGGUUAUAGGGACACAUGUUUGGGACACUUUUGUCUAAGUGUCCCAUUUAUGUCAAAAUUUUAAAAAAUAUCUACUGAUACCUAAGUAUAAAGCCGAAUCCAACAAAAAAUAAAAGGUUACUAUAUUCAACCCAUCCAACCCAGCUCAUUUGGUCCGAUUCCAAAUAGAAAAGAAAAAAAAAAAGAAAAAUCGAUUACCAUUUUCCCUUCUUCCCUUACUCAAUCCAUUGAAAUCCUAGACGAAGGGCCCUUCCCUCUCGUCCUCCUCCGCCACCGCAGCCAACGAGGUAGAGUUCUAGCGGUUGCUAGAUGCUUAAAUAAGUGUUGCUAAAUUAGCAGCACUAUUUUAGGUUAUAGCGACACUCUUUAACUGUCACUAUAUACCUAGCGACCCCACAUAUAGCAACACUUUUUAAAAGUGUCGGUAAUUUAGUCAGCAGCACUUUUUUUGACCUAUACCGACAUUUAAAAGUGUCGCUAUAGACCGUUUUUGUUGUAGUGAAGACAAAAACUGGUUUCUAUCACGCUACCAUUAUCUUCAAUCAAAAUUAGGUCGACCAGAAAAGAAAAAGAAAAAAAUCUUCAAUUGAAAUUUGCAUUCAAAUUGCUAAUGAGAAAAACAAAUAAUAGUAUUCACCGAGUAGUCCUAAAUCCUAUUUUCGAUGAUGAGACUUUUGAAUCAAGAUAUUAAAAUUAAAAUUUUAAAAAAUUGAAUAUGCGACUCAAAGUAGUUCAUAAAUCAGAUAAGUUCUUUAAACUUUUAUGUUAUAAGUACUGCUAAUUUAGCAUAGAAAAUAUAAAAUAAAUCGUCUAUGAGAAUGAAAUACAUGCCCUAAUUUUUUGUAUUAUUAUCAGGUGCUUGGAAUCUUCUAGAGUACUCCCAAGCAUACUAAAAUAAUUAUACAGUUGGAGAAUUUUAUUAUUGCCUAUGAAGCAUGGAACUCUAAUUUGAGCCACGCAUAAGGUCAACUUUAACCUGAUAAAUCUAUUUUCUAUUGAUUUUUUUUUUUUUGGUUUCUUUUUGUUUUUUUUCCUGAUUUGGUGACGCAAGAUCUUUAAAAACAAAAAAAAAAUAUUAGCACAAGGGAGAUUAUUCUAGAACACUAAAUCGUAGAAGUGACGCAUCCAUUUAAAAAUCCUCAAGGCUCAAUAUUAUCAUAAUGGAACUAAAAUUCCCUAAUAAAUAUUGUUGCUUACGAUAUAAUUUGGUUUUUGAGCAAAACGAAUUAAAAAUUUCGAGACUAAGAUUUCGUUUGGAAUUGUAGGGAGAUUACAUUACGUGCGGUUAUAAAGAAUAUUGUAUUCCGUAUAUUGUAAUGAGUCGGUUAUGACAUAUUUUUUAUAAUUUCACCAAAAAAUGAAGACGGAUAUCGUUAUUUGCUUUUAUCCUAACUUCAUUUUAUCUAAUAGCGCAAGAUGAGCCUCAGUAGGAAACUAAACCUAAUUAUUGAUGAUCAAAUAAUUUCUUCAAGUUAAUUAAGUCAGAUUAAGGUUAGUUUUCCAACCUCAACAACCCUGCUUUGAUUGCUUGAUUGCCAAAAUGACUUGAACCAUGCAUUGUAGAGUAUUUAUUUACUUUUGAGUAAACAAGCAAACUAACCAAUUAUGUGUACUUUUGCCUCACAUUGAAUGCAUCUAUUUUUUUUUUUUUUUUAAAGACUUUAACUAAGCUUGGAACAUUGCUUCAUUUAAGUUUCUCCAUGUUUAAAAUGGUAUCCAAAUUUGAAGGAAAUUUUACAAAAAUGACUCUAAUAACGUGUUAUCCAAAAAAAGUCAAUCUACUUGAAAACAAUUCAGAAUCACUCUUAACACUACGGAGAAAAACGCAAGAGUUUCUAGUCUCAACCCACAUUUUUUUGCUCAAAAAUAUUAAUAUGGCAACGGAACAUAAGAUUCAAAAUUUUACAACAUAUAUCCUGUAAGAAAACUCAUAGACAAAGUUAUGUACAUCCCACAUAAACUCAUUUCCAUGAUCAUCAACACACACUAGUCACCUCUGUUCCAGGGGAAAAAAAAGAAGAAGAGGAGAAGCUUCAGCAGAUCACACAAGAAUUGGGAUUCUCCUCUAUACUCCUAACAAAAUACUGGGUGGUCAUGUGAGGGUUGUAGUUCUUGUAUGCAUUGACAAGUUCACUGAUCAUCUGCUCAUUGGGGUCCUUCUUUUUCUCACCCUCCUCCUUCUUGGGCUCUUCCUUCUUGGCUUCUUCUUUCUUGGCCUCCUCCUUCUUGGGCUCUUCUUUCUUCGCCCCGUCCUUCUUUUCCGGCUCUUUCGCGGGGCCGACCGAGAAGAUGCUGGUGGGCCAGGAUUUGCGCAGUUUGCUCACGACGUCCACCGGGUCGACCGUCCCGAUCACCGUCAUCUUCCUCUCCUUCAUGUCCACCGCGAUCGAGUCGAUUCCUGCGUGAUAAAAUGGCGACAUCGAUCACACAGUAGGAAACAGGCUCAGAAAUAUAUAUAUAUAUAUAUAGAGCUANAAACAAUAUUAAUUAAGGGCUAUCAAGGAUCAUAAAACAAUUCUAUGAUACCCUGUAAAGUAGAACCAAAAAAAAGAAAAAGGAUCUCCUUUUCUUCAGAAAGGGAAAAGGCCAAAAAAAAAAAAAACACUAUAUUGGAGCACUAAAGAAUCAGAUUCCCCAAGAACAAAAUAAUUAAACAAAAAAAAGAAGAAAAACCCACAUCACAAAAAUAUGAAUCUGACCUUCAUAUCUGAGAGAAAAUGGAGGAUAAUGGAGAGAAUUAGGAGAGUGGGAGGGUCUUCUACGGAGUAGUGGUGUGAAUUUGAUGAGAGGAAAAAGGAGAAGGUGUUUGGUUUUUAUGUAGCACCCGAAAGAGAUGAGAGGGUGAGGCUGUGAUUUUUUAUUCGUCCUAGGCCCCACAAAACCAAUCAAUCAACAUCCGUUCUACGUUGACGACACAUUACUCUUUCCUUUUUUUUCUUUUUCUAGUUUUAUAUAUAUAUAUAUAUAUAUAUAUAUAUAUAUAUAUAUAUUACUAUACUAUUUAUAGUAUUAAAAUUUUGGUAUUAUUGAGUCUUCAGUCAUUAAAUGAAAAAAUGUGCGGCUAGAAUGAUAGUAAUCUUCUUGGAUUGAGUGGGUUGAUUGAAUAGUAUAAUCUAACGAGUAGAAAUGAUCAAAAGAUAAAUCUAACAGCAAAAAAUUCGAGAAUAUUAAGAGCUUGCUAUUAUCGAUAGUAUAUAUAUAUAUAUAUAUAUAUAGGGUCUGGCUACUAUACUAUUAUGAGUACGAUCGCUCUCGAACUCAUAAAUCGUUUUCGAUGAUAGAUCUUCCGAAUCGAUGAUCCAUACCGUAAAAAUUAUUUACAGCAUUUAAAACUUCUAGAAAUCAAAUUUUAUAAUUUUUCAACAUCAUUUACCUUACGAUCAAGAGGUUCAUAAGUUUGACAAUUUUUAAUGGCCGGUAUGGGAUACUUACUAGUUUAACGGUGUAAAAGAAUCGGAAUUUAUUGAAUUUUUGAUAAAAAAUUCUAUUCACUACCUAGAUAAAGAUCAAUAACUCCGAUCUUGAAUUGAAGGAUUUGAUCAUUCUUUUUUAGGACGUCGUUCGAUUUUGACCGUUCAUUUUAUGCCCGCUUGAUGGACUUUAUUAUGAUUUCGAAAAUUUACGAAAUUUAUUUUCUAUAAGUUUCAAAUACUCUAUAUCAUAUUUAACAGAGUGGAUCGUCGAUUCGGAAGCUCCAUCAUCAAAAACAACUUAUGAGUACGAGGGAUCCAAUACUAAUAAUAGUAUAGUAGUCACGGUAAUAUAUUUGUAUUGUUUUACACCAUUAAACUCACAAACACACCACAUCGGCCAUUAAAAUGGUCAAUUUUGAGAUCUUUUGAUCACUAGUCAAAUGAUGUCGAAAAAUUAUAAAAUUUAGUUUUCAAAUACUUUUAAUAGUGCAGAUUAAGUCUAACGGAGCCGAUAGUCGAUUUGGAAGCCGCAUCAUCGAAAACAACUUGGUAGCACGGGAGGCCCCGUGCUACCGUUAGUAUAGCAACUGAACUCUAUAUAUAUAUAUAACUAGGCUAAUAUACUAUUAAUAGCACCAAGUCAUUGGUGCUACCAAGUUUUUGGCCAUUAUAUUGUUGACCACGAUCCCACUACCUUGCAUCUGAAAAAUAGUAGAAAAUAAUUUUCUCAAGAAAUAGUUUUUUAUAAUAUUUUCAAGAACCAAACAUGUGCUUAGUGCAUUUUUACUUUAUCACUUUAUAAUUAAAAAGUUAUUAAAUUAUUUAUAAUUUUUAUUUAUUUAUUUAUCAUUAAACAGAAAAGUAAAAUAAAUUUUUUUAACAAAUCACAAGAUAAUACAUACAGCAUCUUAAUAUUUUACAAUUCUAUAAUCUAUGUUUUACCAAUUUGUGAUCUGAAAAUAAUGUUAUUUUAUUUACUAUCCUUUUUAAUAAUAAUUUUUUAAAAAAAAUUAUAAUUGCACUUAAUUAAAUAUAUUUUUUAACUAUAAAUGAUAAAAUAAAAAUAUGAUAUACCAUAAGUACCAAAUUGAAUCUACAUAUAUUCAUUGCUCAAUACUUUUGUGUAUCACAAACAUUUUAUAUAUAAUAAAACAUUAUAAAUAUUUAUAUAUAUUUAGAUGAAAAGUUUUUUUAAAUUUUAGGGUUUGGAAUAUUGGACAGAGGAUAAUUCAUGAAUAAUUUUGAUUAAAAAUAAGAUUAAUAUGUAAUGCUCUCAAUAUAUAAGUGGGAAAGGUAGGUUUACUUUAUUGAAUUAUUGUGCCUAAUCCUUGAAUUAUGGAAAUAAUACUUGUCAAUCCAUUUUAAUACAUGUUUGGUGAGAGAUACAACUAAUUAUGCUAAGAUACUUAGAAAUGUUUUCUUUUCCCCUUAUCACAGAUGUUUUAACGUAUUUAAUUAUUUUUUCCUUAGAAAAAUAUUAUUGAAAAUUAAUUUUUCUUAGCGUCUUUAUUAAAAGAUUAUGACCAAUUUGCAUUAAAAAUUCACUUAUUUUGGACUUUUGCAAAACCGGGCCACCUUCUUCGUUUUUGCAGAUUCGGUCCGCUUUUUCAGCAAACUGACCAAAAUACCCUUAUCUCUCCUCUUCGUUUCUCUCGUUCUUUUUUCUCUCUCUUUCCAGAGAGUGGCGGAGACGGAACGGAAACGCUCUUAUACCUUUUUCUCUCUCCUCUUUUUUCUCUCGUUUUUUUUUUUUCUUUCUCUUCUCAGAGAGUGGCAGAAACAGAGCGGAGGCGGCCUGCUUCGAUUUUGUCCGGCGUAUCCUUACUCUCACCCGCACACCCCCAUCUUCCUCGCCUCCGAUCCCGCCGAGGCCGCGCCGCGACUCUUUUUUUUUUUUACCUCUCUGACUCUCCUACACUGUCUCCGACGACGACGCCUCUCUUACCCUUCUCCGCUCUUCUCGUCCUCUCCCUCUCCCUUCUCCUCUACUGCCACCGACGACGAUGCAUCUUCGCCGGCGCCGACGCCGACACCGUGAAGGUCACUACGGCGCUGCAGCCUCGGAGCGGGGGUCCUUAGCGGCGUCGUUGCCGGCGCUGUGACCGUUGGCAGAGAGGGGUGACCAAAAAAACAAUAAAAGAAGCGAGAAAAAAAAAUAAAGAUAAAAAUUUAUAGAAAAAGAAGGAUAAAGAUGAAAUUCCAUCGUUAACUGCAAAAAAAAUUAUAAGUUGCAUUACUUAAAAUAUAAACUGCAGCUUUAAGAUGAAAAGUAUACUCUUUAAACGAAAAUUACUCUCUUUGGAAGAUAUUUACAUUAUUUUUUCUCUUAUUGCACUCUUUCAUAUGAAAACUGCAUCUAUUAAGGUGAAAGUUACACUCUUUAAACGAAAGUUGUACUGUUUCUCCUCUUGUUGCACAAUUUCUUCUCUUGUUACACUAUUUUUUAUCUUAAACUGCACCCCUUUAAGAGAUAUUUAUACUGUUUCUUCUCUUAUUGCACCAGUUUUCCUUUUGUUGCACCAUUUCUCAUCCUGUUAUACUAUUUUUUUAUCUUAAACUGCACCCUUUUGAGAGAUAUUUAUACUGUUUCUCCUCUUGUUGCAGUGUUUUUUUUCUUGUUGUCCUAUUUUUCCUCUUGUUACACUGAUUAUUCAUGAGGGUCGAAAAUUUGAUUCCUCGCCUGUGAGUUUACAAAUACUGUAAAAAUUAAAUAUGUGACUAAGUAUAUGACGAUUUAGGAUGGAACCUAAUAACUUGUUUAAAAAGUACUAAUAAUAAUAAUGAAGAUCAGGUGUUAUUUAGUAGUAUUAAAAUUACUUUUUUAUGUGUCAUAUUAUAAAAGGGUUUGUAGCAACAAUGGUGAUUAAUUAUGUAGCUAAUAUAUAGUUUACGGUUAUCAUACACCGCACGUGAAACAAAUAGAUUUUAUUUGUUAAUUAUUCUUGAUUAAUUGCAACAAGUUGAGUUUACUUUUUUAAUGGGUAAACUUCAAAUACAACUCUUUUGGUUUCGUGUUUUCUUACUUUAAUACUCUAUGAUCUAAAGUGCGUCACUUUAGUAUUAUGUGGUUUUAUUUCUCUCUUUUCGUCUGCGCCUCCGUUAACUUUCUGUUAAAUUAUAUAUAAAAACUUCAAAUACCUGACCUAUGAUUUAUCAAAUAAUUACUUUAGUACCAUAUAGUUUUAAUUUUGUCACUGAUGUAACGAAAAAUUAAUAAAAGGAAUAACAGAAAGAAAAAACGAAAUAGAAAAAAUACAAAAGUGAUACAUUUUAAACCACAGAAUAUUAAAAUAAGUAAAUAGGAGACCACAAAAGUGAUAUUUAAAAUUUUUGCUUUUUUAAAUGACAUUUUACAUUAUGCCUUACGUUAGCAGAGGCCUACAUGGGAGAUUGCAUAACUUAAUUUAGCAAAAAAUUAAAUCUUUUUAUUAUUUUUUUUUUUUCGUCAAAACGUCACGUUCCGAAAAAAUAUUCAUUAUGCUUUUAAUUAGUGGAGGUUAACUAACGACAUAAUCACGGAUGUAAAAUUAAUUCAUAUUAAAAUUUAGCUUUAUCAGACAAAUACUACCGGCCCGUCCCGUUCAGCUAUUUAAUUAAUCAAAUAUAACUGUUCUCGCCAUUACAAAAUGAUUCUUAAAUUAUGAAAAUUUUAUUUUAAUAUUUUUGUCAAUUAUGUGUCUAUUAUGUUCACAGGAAAAAAAAAAAAACUAUCAAAAAGAAAAAUUCAAUUAGGCUAAAAACUAAUUAUGCAAAACAAUCGUUAUAUUAUAAAAAUUUAAACGGUUAGAAAAUGAUAUUCAUAUAUUUUUAUAUUUAGCAUUUUGCCUUACGUUUGGACUCGAGACUUUUUGUAAAACCCAUGACGUGGACUUGAAUUAAAACUUGAAUUCAAGAUCCCCUACUCUGAUAUCAUUUAGAACAACCGUUAUACUAUAAAAGUUUAAGUUGUUAGAGAACAGUAUUUAUAUAUUUUUAUAUUUAACAAAUUAAGAACGAUAUGUAUGAAACAACCGUUGUACUCUAAAAGCCUCACGUCUGGGCUCGAGACUUUUUAAUCGGCCCAUAACGUGGGCUUGAAUUAAAUGGGAGGAAAUUAAUAUGCUAGGAGCCUGACAUGACUCGAACUCAGGACCUCCUGCUCUGAUACCAUAUGAAACAACCGUUGUACUCUAAAAGCUUAAGCUGUUAGAGAACAGUGUUUUAAACAUUUUUAUAUUUAACAAUAUGUAAAUAUUUUAUUUAUUUAAUAUGAUAUUAGAAUAAAGAGUUUCGAGAUCUAGUAUUAUUAAUUUUAUUUUUUUUAAAAAAUAAUUAUUUUUUAUUUCGUUUUCAACGAAUAAAGUGAUAGGAUUCGAUCAAGAGCUAAAAACGUGGUCAAAUUUGGCCACUAUAAAUAUGUGGUCGAAUUAAGCACUUUGAUUUGGCUUUUUUUGCUGUGGUCGACAAUUCUAAUUAAUUGCGCUUUAAAGUAUUAAUUAAAUAAUAUAUAAACUUGACCAAAAAGACUAAGACCAAAAACGCAUUAAUUUUGGCUACCUAAAAUUGACCCUUCGUUAUGCGACCGCUAAAUUAGAGCAAAUUCCAAGUGACCCUUCGCACAUUUUUAUUUUGCUAUAUACUACGUACUCUGUAAUUUGGAAAGCUAUAUAUAUUUUGCUAUUCUCUGAUUUUGUCUUUGUUUUAUUAUGAAGAUCUUCUAUAUUUUUACAAAUUAUAUGAUGAUUAGCUUAGUAUAGUAUUAUUAUUAUCCAUCAUAGUUUAUAAAAUGCUACAUAUCAUGUCGGUUUGUAAGUUAAAUAUCGUAAGGUGGCAAAUUAAAGCGAUCCAUUUUAGAUCUGAUUAAUCCGAAUCGUUCAGUUGGGACGCUUCAGUUCUCCGUCGGCGCAUGUCACGGUUUCUCUUCUGGUUGGAAUUCUUAUUUUUUCAGAAAUACUAUGCAAACUGAUCAACUAGCUAAUUGGAGUCUGUUUAGCAAAAAAAAAGUAUUGUAUAGUCCUCUUUUGAAGACUUCUUUAUUUCUGUAUUGCCUCAUUUUUGCUAAAUAAAUUUUCGUUCUCGGAUGAUUUUCCUAAAAAAAAAAAAAAUCAUGGUAUAGAUGGUAAAUAAUAAUAAGGCUAAAUUAUAGAAAAUCUGCAUUUUUUACUUUUUUCUUUUUAAUUUUUAAAAAUCUUACAUUUUAAGUUGUUGCAUUUUGUCCCUCCAUUAUGAUUUAAUCACCAUUCUAUCCAUUUACUAUAAUUUUAUAUUAAAAAUACCUUUCAAAAUAAAUAUAUGUAUUAAAAAAUUAUUUUUUUUUAUAAAAGAAAUAAUGACAGUUUAGUUAUUUUACUCUCUCCAUUAAUGCCCUAUCUCCCUGAAAAAAUAUUUUCUCAAAUUUUAAGGGAGCAAAAUAUAGAUUUUUAAAAGUUAGAAAAGAAAACCAAAAUACGAAUAUUUACAAAAAAAAAAAUCUGAAUUUUAGCCCAAUAAUAAUAAUAAUAAUAAUAAUAAUAAUAAUAAUAUAUGCUAUAAAAAAUUAUUUGUAUAUUGUUUUCUUUACUUGGAAUAAUAAUACCAGUUGAGUUUAGAUAUAUCAAAUAUUGCUUUUCAUCAUCUCAUUAUUGAUCCUUUUUUUAUUGUUAAAAAAUACACUUAUUUUUGUGAUAUGAUAAGAAAUUUAUCUACAACCAAACAAAACUAGGAAUAAAUUCAAGCAAUAGUUAGGAGAAAAUUGACAAGACCAAAUAGACAAAAAUUUCUUACGCUUCCAACAAGCAACUCAUAAGAAAAUGAAAUAUUCUUUUCCUACAAGAUCAUAAAUCUUAUCUUUAGCAAGAUGAUUGAUUUUGAUUGUAAAUAUGCCAGAGAGAUGCAGGUCUAGUUUCUGAAAACGAUUGUUCGACCGCACUCGCGCAUGAUUAAUUGGCCUUAUCAUUUUUGAGUCAAGUCGGAUUCGAAUCGAACAGAAACAACAGGUUCAUUUUCACUUGGUACGUAGCUUUGUCGCGAUUUAUAUCAGGCUCGUCUACCAAAUAAACUUGUAAAUGUAAAUGGUACAUUUAAAUAUUAAAAUGUAAAAAUUAUUAAGUAGUUCAAAUUUAAUAAAUUAAAAAGUUAAAUGAUACCACCAUCAAUUUUUUUGAAAAAAUUUAAAUAGUUGGAUCAAAAUGAACUUAUGUUUAGAUAAGUAUUUUAUAUUUUUACCUUAAACCAAAAAAAAAAUAAAAAAAAAAAUCUGAAAAGCCAUUGACCUGUCUCUUAAUUCGAUUGCGUGUAUCACCAAACAAUAGCUGUACAAUCCUUGACCUAACCUAUUCUAUUUCACUCAAUAGUUCAUGUACAAAUCGAUUUGGCUUUUUUAAAAAUUUUUUUUUUUUCCAACCAUGAACAUGACACCUAUUUAAAUUGUUGAUUUAUGUAAAUAAUAAUUGCUUUAUUAACUUAGAACUUAGAACUUGUUACUGGCCGUUCCUAGCACAAAUCAUAAAGAAUUUGAUGAUUUAUAUUCAAGAUUCUAAGUUUAAAGUAUAGUUACUUUAUGUUUUUAGCUAAAUUUAUUUCUAAAAAAAAUAAACAAGUAAAGUUUUAAUGACUAUGAAAAAAUCAGUAUUUGUGCCUUUUCAGAAUGAACGAUUUGUUUAUUGAAUGUAUUUCUCGAUAUAAAAAAAAAAAAUCUUUUGACACUUGCUAAAAAAUUUAAAAAACUUGUAAAAUAAAAAUAAAAUCAAAAAUUUAAAAUAUAUGCGGAUAUUAAUUAGAUUUUGUAUUAGUGGAGCACACAACUAUAUAUAAUUUAGUGUGAAAUUGAGAUGAUAAGCUUCAAUUGCGUAGCAAUGCGUCAACGCAUGAAAUAAAAUAAAGGAGUUUUUUUUAAAAAAAAAAUUAAAAAUAAAAAUCAACGGCUCUGUUUACGCAGCUGUGGACGGUCGCAGUAAAAUAUUAAAAAAAUGAAACAAAAGAGACAGUGGGGCGUUGCGAUAGGGAUGUGUGUACCCGCCACAUGACGUCACGUAGCACAACUUGUUUUCGUUUUUUAUUUUUUUUAAUUAAAUCGAAUUUGUGACUAAAUGCAACGCAUGUGUUAUUUUUUUUUUAAAAAAAUUAUAUAUAUAUAUAUAUAUACUCUACAAAAAUUUUAAAAUAUUUGAUAUAUUUUAUCUUUUUGUUUUGGAUAUAUUAUUUUUAAAUUCUAUCAAAUUAAAAAGACUCAAAAUAUCUCUUUUGUCUGUAACUUAAGGACAAAUAAAAAAAAAUAUAAGCAGAAGGGUAUAUUUGAAUGUGUCCCUAACUUAAGAAUAAAUAAAAAAAUUGGUGACAAUAAAAUAAUAUAUUUGAAGGGACAAAAUAAUAACUUUUUAGAGAUAAUUUGGAUUUUGGAAUGUUAAAAGUUUUAAUAUAAAACCUUUUAAGAGAAAUAAAUAAAAAAAUUGAAAAUUUUUCAGAAAUAUAUAAGCAAUUGUCUCUUUUCUUUAUAGGGAUAAUUGUGUAUAUCUCUCAAAACUUUAGAAAUAUUUAAUUUAUUCAUACUUUUUUUUUUAUUUCCAAUAUACUUCUCAUAUGUUCCUCCGUUAUUCUAACAUAUCCCUACUACAAUUAUCAUCCAUUAAGUUAUUUUGGGUUAAACGUGAGUUGAAUAUCUACUAGAAUUUAAAAAAAUUAAAAUAUUUCUUUUGUCCUUAUUUAAGGGCAAAUAAGAAAAAUUUGUGACGAUAAAAGGGUACAUUUGAAAAAUUAAAAUAUCAAAAUACUUUUUUUCAAAAAGGACAAAUAAAAAUGGUUGGUGAUGAUAAAAGAGUAUAUUUGAAAAGACAAAAAAUUAAAAUACUUCUUUUGCCCUAACUGAAGGGUAAAUAAAGAAAAACUGGUAAUGAUAAAAGAGUAUAUUAGAAAGGAUAAAAUAGUAAGUUUAUAGAGAUAACGACUAUUCUUUUAGAGAUAGGUAGCACGCUAUCCGCUUCGUUUAUUUCAUUUAGAAAUAAAUUUAAUUAGAAAUGUGAAUCAACUAGGACUAGAAUUCGAACUUGGGUCUCGGGUACUAACCACCAAGCCUUUUGCCACUUGCUCUAGAGACGGUUGCGAACAGUAGAGAUAUAUUUGAAAUAACUUAGAAUGUAAAAAUAGUAUUUUUAACACUAGGGGCGUGUUUGGUUCGCUUCUUUUUCACCAUAGAAUCGGAAUCGGAAUGGGUGAAUCCGUUUAUGGGUGUUUGGUACGCGGGAGUCCUAUUCCGAUUUCGAUUCCCGAAUAGAAUGGGAAUCCCUGAAUCACCCUUUUUUUCAAUCCGGCAUAGGAGGGCGGAUUGAAAGUUGAAUCCGGACGGAAUGGAUAUUUAUUUUUUCAACUUUUUUAAUUAAAAUAUGAGUUAAAAUUUAAAAAUUAAAUAUAUAAUUUUAAAUUUUAAUUUGGACUUAAAUUAAAAAUUAAAAUGUAAUCAAGUAUUUCGAAUCUAACUUAUGAAUUUGAAUUUAAAUUAAAUUUUAAUUUAUAUAAAGNUAUUCUAUUUCACUUCAAUAGUUCCAUGUACAAAUCGAUUUGGCUUUUUUAAAAAAAAAUUUUUUUCCAACAAUGAACAUGACACCUAUUUAAACUGUUGGUUUAUGUAAAUAAUAAUUGCUUUAUUAACUUAGAACUUAGAACUUGCUGGCCGUUUCUCGCACAAAUCGUAAAGAAUUUGAUGAUUUAUAUUCAAGAUUCUAACUUUAAAGUAUAGUUACUUUACGUUUUCAGCUAAAUUUAUUUUUAAAAAAUAAACAAAUAAAGUUUUAAUUAAUGACUAUGAAAAAAUCAGUAUUUGUGCCUUUUCGGAAUGAGCGAUUUAUUUAUUGAAUGUAUUGCUCGAUAUAAAAAAAUAAAAAUAAAAUCUUUGGAGACUUGCUUAAGAAUUUAAAAAAUUUGUAAAAUAAAAAUAAAAUCAAAAAUUUAAAAUAUAUGCGGAUAUUAAUUAGAUUUUGUAUUAGUGGAGCACACAAGACACAACUAUAUAUAAUUUGGUGUGAAAUUGAGAUGAUAAGCUUCAAUUGCGUAGCAAUGCGUCAACGCAUGAAAUAAAAUAAAGGAGUUUUUUUUUAAAAAAAAAUAAAAAUAAAAAUCAACGGCUCUGUUUACGCAGCUGUGGACGGUCGCAGUAAAAUAUUAAAAAAAUGAAACAAAAGAGACAGUGGGGCGUUGCGAUAGGGAUGUGUGUACCCGCCACAUGACGUCACGUAGCACAACUUGUUUUCGUUUUUUAUUUUUUUUAAUUAAAUCGAAUUUGUGACUAAAUGCAACGCAUGUGUUAUUUUUUUUUUAAAAAAAUUAUAUAUAUAUAUAUAUAUACUCUACAAAAAUUUUAAAAUAUUUGAUAUAUUUUAUCUUUUUGUUUUGGAUAUAUUAUUUUUAAAUUCUAUCAAAUUAAAAAGACUCAAAAUAUCUCUUUUGUCUGUAACUUAAGGACAAAUAAAAAAAAAUAUAAGCAGAAGGGUAUAUUUGAAUGUGUCCCUAACUUAAGAAUAAAUAAAAAAAUUGGUGACAAUAAAAUAAUAUAUUUGAAGGGACAAAAUAAUAACUUUUUAGAGAUAAUUUGGAUUUUGGAAUGUUAAAAGUUUUAAUAUAAAACCUUUUAAGAGAAAUAAAUAAAAAAAUUGAAAAUUUUUCAGAAAUAUAUAAGCAAUUGUCUCUUUUCUUUAUAGGGAUAAUUGUGUAUAUCUCUCAAAACUUUAGAAAUAUUUAAUUUAUCCAUACUUUUUUUUUGUUUCUAAUAUNUUAUUCAAAUUUUAUUUCAAACUUAAAUUAAAUUUAUGGAUUCAAAUUAAAAUUUAAAUUGUAAUUUUAAAUUUGAAUUUGAAUAAAUAAAAAUUUAGUUUCAUAUUUUGAAUUAUCCACUCAACUUCAAAGAUUAAUUUAUUUUAAAAAAAUAGAUUUAAAAUUUGACAUUAGUUUAAAAUGUUGAUGUAAAUUUUUAAUAUUUAAUUUUUAAUUUGAAUUUGAAUUAAUAUAUUAUAAAGAUAAUGUUAGUAUAUUAAUUUGAUUAUGUUUUUUAUAUCUACCUGAACCAAACAUCAACAAUGGGAAUGAUUUAUUCCGAUUCCGAUUCAGGUGAUGAACCAAACGGAAUUAGGUAAUGAGUCAUUCCGAUUCCGAUUCCAGCUUAUUUUGAUUCCGAUUCCGAUUCCAACUCCGACUUCGAACCAAACACGCCCUAGUAUUCUAAAAAGGAUAAAUCAGAAAAUCAAAAAUUUUUCAAGAAUAUAUAAGUAAUCGCCCCAUCUUUAUAUAUAUUUUUUUGAGUUCAAAAUAUACAAACCAUACAAACAGAAGCGUAAUGGUUUUAAAGACUCUGCAUUGGAGGAAAAAGAUUGCGUGGAGGUGAAGUCUCAGUUUUGCAUUGGUUAAUAUACACUCUAUUAUAUUUCUCAUCCAAUCGUUUCUGUGGCAAUAAUGUAUCAUCAUCAUCAUCAAUGUAACUAUUUUGUAUCUCCAUCACUCACCGUCCAUGACUAUUUGUGUGGUUUGGUAGGAUUCUGCGUUUCGCAAAAGCAGAAUCAGUGGAAAGGAGGAGAAAAAGGAACGGCUCGCAUUGAGCCACCUGUGGCCUGUGGAUUGAUUAGGGGGUGAAAGUACACCGGAUUUGAUAGAAUGCGAACACGGAUGUCAAAAUUAUGUAUUCGGUUGAAUUCAAUUGGAUGUUAUGUUUAUAAUAUUUUGGAAUUUGAAUUUGGAUAUGAAUAUAUUAGAAUAUUUCGAAUGUUGAAGAAUAAAAAAAGUGGGAGUUGUAGCUUAGAUGCUAGAGAGCUUUCUCUAAUGUGAAAGGUGGGGGAUUUGAUUUUCCAUACCCCAAAUUAUUGUUGCUGGGUAUUCAUGCGUGCAUACUGGUAUAUAUUACUAUCCGAAUAAUAUUUAAAUUCAAAGAAAUAUCCAAUCUAAUGUAAAUGCGUUUUUAGAAAAUUUAGCAUCCGACACAAUCUGUAUUCAAAUUCUUAUUCAAAAAACGAAUAUGGAUGCGAGUGUGGUUUUGUCAAAUAUCCGUUCGUAAUCGACCAUUUUCACCCCUAGGAUUGAUCAAGAUUGGGUAGAUUCCAAUUGUUCUGAACCAAAGUACGGAGAUCAAGGGCAUGUUUGGGCCAUGAUUAAAAUAAAAAUGAAAAAUAAAAUUAGGCUGCAUUGAAAUUGAAAAAUAAAACAAUAAAUUAUUAAAAAGAUAUUUAGUUUAUUAUUAUUAGAUUGAAAAUGAGAAUGAAUACUUAGAAUUUUGAGAUAGGAUUUUUGACUAAGAGAUGGAAGAGUGAUGAAGGAAGAGGAGGAAGAGGCUUUUGUGAGAAUGAGGUUUGCGUGGUUUAUUUUUUAAUGAGCCAAUCCGGAGUUCAAAGCCGAAUGGGCCAUAAAUGAAUCGGAUCAUAAUUCUCAUUCUGUAGUGGAAUGAGAAUCGGAAUUCGAUUUUUUUAAAACAAACAGCAACUAUUGGAACUAAUGAAUCUCUUUCUGAUUCCGCAGUCUAAAAUAAGUAAACCAAGCAAACCCUAAAGUUAUAAUUUUCUGUGAAUUCAUUGAAAAAUUUAUAAAUAUAUUUAUACACUUUUUUAAUAUUAAUUUUUGAUAAAAAUGUACAAAAUUUAUCUGAAUUAUAGACCAUUUUGAAUAGAUACUCAAUAUUGCAAAAUUUUGAUUGUACUGUCCAAUUUUUUAAUUUGUUUGAAUCACUCAACGACACUUUGACUUUAACUUUUGAAUGUGUAAUUUAUUUCUAUUUCAUACAAUUUUUCAAAACUAUAAAUUUAUUUAAAUAAAUAAUUAAAUUAAAUUUUGAAGUCAAAUUGCGACAGACCGUCUCAAAUCAAACAAAUUGAAAUGUUGGAUAAUAAAAUUAAAAUUUUGAAAGAUUGAUUACUAUACAUUUUUUUUUCCAAACUUUUUCGGCCUAAUAAUGUUGGUGGGCGUUCAAUGUCAAACUUAUACUUACAGUCAAAAUGGCUCUUUUUUGUAAACAAUUUGGGCUCAAAAUUUCUCGACCGUUCAUGUUUGGAGCGAAAAAUGUCGUUCACGAUGGAAUACCCCACCGACCCCCAUCCCACAUUUACACAUCCACUCCAUUUUCUAGAUCCUUCUUCAACGUAGUAAGGACACAUCUGAUAUUGAUGGCUGUCUAACGUUAUCAGAAUAAUGAUAAAAAAAAAAAAGAAGUUAGGGCAGAAAUGUAUAGACGCAUUUUUCUCUGCACUUCCGUCGAACUAAAAUGAUUUAUCAUUUUUUUUAUUUAUAUAUAAAUAUAUAAUGCACUCUCCCUGCAAUCACAGAGCGAGCGAAAAUCGCUUCGGCUAAGAGCCAAAUCAAUUGUUAACUUGUUGGCUAUAAGGUCCUGCAUACGAGCGAGCCCAUUGACCAUGAGUGAGGGCCUAAAAUGGAUCCAGUUGGUCAUAUUGGAUCGGGUUGCGCUUAACGACCGAAUAAAGAUGAGAAUUUAGGGCCCGUUCUAGGUUAAAGAGGCCCACAAUCCCCCACCCAGUACAAACCACUUCCAUCAUGAAUAGGGGUGGAAAAAUACGAGGAAAAAUUUUGAGUGCGGAGCUUUCCAACGAUAAGUUAAAUGUGUUAAUUUUAUCUGCAUCCAAAGAAUUAUAAUCUUUCACUCAAUAAUUUAAUUUUUUUUUAUUUUAGCACUAAAAAAUAUAUAACGAAUCAUUGAAUGGAGGCAAAAUUAAUACCUGACAGUGGAUUAGAAAUUUCACAACAACACAUUAUUGAGGAGCCUACUAAAGAUUUAUUCAGAAUACGAUCUAAACCGGUUAACUUAUUUAAUCCUAUCGAAGAAAAGGAUAAUCAGAUCUCGACAUUAAAAUUCAGAUAAGUAGCGUUAACGACCUGAUUCACAUUAAUAAUUUAAAUUGUAUAAGUUAAGUUACAUUGGAUUGUUUUUUAAAUUUUAAAUAGUUUAUUUUAGAAGGAUGUAUGAAACAUCUCUAUAUUUAUGAUAUUUUUAUUUUGAAUAUUCAAAUUUUAAAAUUUUGAUUUUAAUUUAAUAGUACAUUGUUUUUAACUUUUCUGAAAUAUCGCUUAAAAUCAGGUCCAAUUAGGUUUGGAUCUGGACAGAGAGACCUGCUCCAAUCUGGACACAUCUGGACACAAUAUGUUGUCGAAAAACCAACCGUCUCUAGAGCAAGUGGCAAAGGGCUUGGUGGUUGAUACCCGAGACCCAAGUUCGAAUUCUAGUUGAUUAAUUUUACAGCUAAGUUUAUUUCUUAAUGAAAUAAACAAAGCGGGUAGCGUGCUACCUAUCUCAAAAAAAAAAAAAAAAAAAUGUUGUCGGAAAUUCAGGUCUGGAUUGGAUCAAGAAUCAGUAAAUUUUACUGUCCCUAAUGGUUUUUUAACCUCACUCAUAGACCCCGCAUUAUAAAUAAGGUAAAAAUAUAUAUAACUUAUUUAAAUUAUGGACCAUUUUGAUUAUCAAAAUUAUGAUUUUACCAUCUAACAUUUCAAUUUGUUGGAUUUGAGUCGGUCUUACAUUAAAAUUUAAACUAACUACUUAUUUUAAUAAAUUUGUAGUUGCAACAAUUGGACGGGAUAUACUAACUACGUCUAUGAAUAUAAACAACACAUUCAAAGAGCUAAUUAUCUGCUUUAAUAAAUUUAUACUUUCAAAAUUUGUUUGAAAUAUAUAAACUAAAUCUGCAAAUACGAAUAAAGUAUUCAAAUUAUGAAGUCAAAGUGUCAUUAACUAAUUCAAAUCCAAAACAUUAAAAGAUUUUUAUCUAUAAAUAAUCCUCAUAAAUAGUUAUUUAUAUUGAACUGAAGUAACAAGCAUCAGCCCAAAAUUUAAGAAUCGACACAAAUUCGAACUUUCGAUCUUAAAAUUAGAUUUGAAAUGCUCAACUCAAAUGCUGGAAAAGCCAUGGAGAUGUGGGCGAAGCACCCGACAAAGCUCUCCACUGUGAUCUCUUUAAUAAUUGGUGCAUAAAUAAAGAAUAUGCAGUCGCAUUGUUGAUAUGGUGUCUUCAACAAAUCAAAUUAUUUUUUUGAGAUAACAAAUUUCGUCAUGAUUUUUUUUUAAAAAAAAUUUGUUAUACUUUUCUCUCAAAAAUGAAGAUAUGAUUGACUAAAUAUAAACGAUGUGAGAUACCUACGAGCAAAAUCUAAAGUAAAGAGUGAGAAUCACCUUAGAAAAUAGAAACACAUUAACAAAAAUACUAGCAAAUUUUUUUUUUUUUAAAAAAAAAACUAGCAAAUAAUUGAUCAUUCCUAGUGUAAGUGAUAAGAGAGUUUGUGGUUGUUACUCGAUGUCUUAAGUUCGAAUCUUAGUUAUUUAAUAUUUUCAGCUAAAUUUAUUUUUUUAUAAAAUAAACAAAAUAUAUAGCACGCUAUCUUUUUCUCGAAAAAAAUACUAGCAAAUAAAGAAAAAGAAAUGCUGCUGCUACAUUCAAAGAAUAUAUAGGUGCAUAUAUUUUAUUUUUCCAUUAAAUGAUUUAGAUAGUCUUUUUAAGUUUUUAAUAUUUUUUUAAAAAACAAUGCUAUCUGUAUAUUUUAAAUGUGAGUGCAAAUCUUGUACUCUCCUGUCCACUCGAAAUCUAUUUCUUUAGGGAGAAAAAUGGAAUGUAAAUUUUACAUCAAUUCCAUUAAAGAGUUUAAUUAGAUAAGCCUUUUGGAUUUUUUUAGUAUGAAAAAAAAGAAAUAUGAUAAGAUUAAUGUAAAAAAUUAUUUCUUAAAUAAAAAAAGGUAAGAUUUAUAUUUAUUUUUGGAUACACAAACAAUAUCACUCUUGCCAAUAUUGUGUUCAUUUGAAGUGUUUUCUCUUUGUGUGCUCUUGAUCUAAUCACAUCAUGGACACAAUAAAGAGAAUAAAUAAAUAAAUAAGAUUUAAACAUAGCAAUAUAACUAUUUCGAAUACUUUAUCUACAAGGCAGUUAAGGCAAGGCAUGGCAAAAUAUGGGACAAAAACAUCAUUCCCAAACUACAAGUUUGGGAACAAUACAGAUGGGUGCCACGUGGCAAGCGUACGCCCAUUGCAUGAGCGGGAAAGAAAGAAAAAGAAAAGACAUCACGCGUCCUGAUUUUUUGAGAGAGAAAGAAGCAGAGGAAGAGAAAUGGAUGGUGAGAUGAGCGCACACUCGCAACGUGGGGCCCAUCCACAUCGUCCUCAACCUAACUAGUUUGGGAACGAUGUCCAUAUAAUUUUUGUCUCAAAAUGUGCAAAUAUGGUUGUGUGUAUUGUGAAGAAUUAAAUAUGCGCGAUGACCCACAAGCUGUAAAAUUUCUAUUAUGUUUCUUUUGUGGUUCGUAUCUUGUUGUCCGCACUCAUUAGUUUGGUUCAAUCGAACAUCAAGUUUUUGUUAUAAUCAGAGGCCAUAAAUCUAGCUCGUUAUUCACGAAUCAACUCGUGUUCGACUUGAAAUUAGUUCGAAUUUAUUUGUUUAGUAAACGUACCAUUUAUGAGAUCACUUUUUAAGAGCGAAAAAUUAAAUGAGCCAAAUAUGAAUUGACUCUUGUUUGGUUCGAUAUAGGUCGGAAAUAAUAUAUAUAUAUAUAUAUAUAUAUAUAUAUAUAUAUAUAUAUAUAUAUAUAUANNNNNNNNNNNNNNNNNNNNNNNNNNNNNNNNNNNNNNNNNNNNNNNNNNNNNNNNNNNNNNNNNNNNNNNNNNNNNNNNNNNNNNNNNNNNNNNNNNNNNNNNNNNNNNNNNNNNNNNNNNNNNNNNNNNNNNNNNNNNNNNNNNNNNNNNNNNNNNNNNNNNNNNNNNNNNNNNNNNNNNNNNNNNNNNNNNNNNNNNNNNNNNNNNNNNNNNNNNNNNNNNNNNNNNNNNNNNNNNNNNNNNNNNNNNNNNNNNNNNNNNNNNNNNNNNNNNNNNNNNNNNNNNNNNNNNNNNNNNNNNNNNNNNNNNNNNNNNNNNNNNNNNNNNNNNNNNNNNNNNNNNNNNNNNNNNNNNNNNNNNNNNNNNNNNNNNNNNNNNNNNNNNNNNNNNNNNNNNNNNNNNNNNNNNNNNNNNNNNNNNNNNNNNNNNNNNNNNNNNNNNNNNNNNNNNNNNNNNNNNNNNNNNNNNNNNNNNNNNNNNNNNNNNNNNNNNNNNNNNNNNNNNNNNNNNNNNNNNNNNNNNNNNNNNNNNNNNNNNNNNNNNNNNNNNNNNNNNNNNNNNNNNNNNNNNNNNNNNNNNNNNNNNNNNNNNNNNNNNNNNNNNNNNNNNNNNNNNNNNNNNNNNNNNNNNNNNNNNNNNNNNNNNNNNNNNNNNNNNNNNNNAUAUAUAUAUAUAUAUAUAUAUAUAUAUAUAUAUAUAUAUAUAUAUAUAUAUAUAUAAAUAUUGUUUUUUAGAUUGAAAUGUAGCAAAUUUUGAAUACUAUUUUAAAUCUUUUGUGUUCGAUAGUAUAACGUUUAAAUUUUAAUAAUAAUUAGUAAUGCUAAGAGCAAAACAAAGCAUCAAUAAUAAUAAAUUAAAAAUAAUAAUACUGAUUAUACCUGACAUGCAUUAAUAUUUAUUAACUUUAAUUCAAGCUGGGUCAAAAUUUCGAAAUAAUUUGGAGCCAGCUUAAAUUUAUUUUGAGUAACAACAAGCUGGAUUAAUAUCCUUAAUUACUCAUUUUAAUAUAAAUUAAAGCGGUCAAGAAAAAUCUAGCUCUAUUAUUUUCCAGCUCGCCCGUGUUCGGCUCGUUGACGGUUCUAGUUAUAACUUUGUAACAUCUAUAUAUAUAAAUCUUUGUAUUUGAUUAUCAAAAAAUUACUUCAAUAAUAAAUAUCUACUAUAAGCAUAUAUUUUGGAUCAUUUUUAUAAAAUUAAAAUUUUUUAUUACAAUAAUAUGUACAUCCAAAUACACUAUUUAAUUUGAUGCGUUUGAAUCUAAUUAUUACAGUUGAAACUGUAUAAGAGAAUUGUUGCUGCCGUCGGAGAAAGUAACUUAAAUAAAAUGUGUAUUACCUGCUUCUAAUCAUCUUUUAGAUAAAAAAAAUUUAUUUAUUUUUUUUAUAUCGAAGGUAAUUUUAAUAUCUCAUAUACAGAGCAAUAAUAUGUUAUAUUUUAUUUAAUCAAAUAAUAAGAUGCAUAAACUAAAGAGCAUUUUUAAUUACACUCAUUUAAAGAGUCCCUAUUUCGGUGGUUAAUUUGUCGAUUUUUAUGGUAUGACAUGACAUGGCAAUCGAUAAAGCCUUAGAUCGACCUACCUCUAUCAUUUGGUGGUUAAAACAUCACCGGGUGAGCAAUCCCCCACCCUCUGAUCUGGAUCACAAAAUAUGACGAGCAAUCCAAGGUUUGGAGCCAUUUACUCGACAAUUUACCCAACAAGAGGCCGUUUGGUUGCUUAUAGUUAUAAUCAUAUAGUAAUUAUAACUGUAUAUAAAUACAAAUUCGAUAUUUAGUUUGAUGUAUUUAAUUUCAACUGUUGCAGUAGGAAUUACGGGAGGAGGUCCAACUGUAGUAGUAGGAACUACGCCCAAAUUGGCCGUAGUUCUAACUGCAGUAUUUGGAAAGAGUAACUUUAAACGAAAGAUGAGCUUACCUCCUUAAUUAUUUUUUUAAACAAAAAAUAAUUUUUUUUACAUUGAGGGUGCUGCGUUUGGUUUGCACUAUGAAAGAUUACUAGGAAUAAAAAGAUAUCCGAAAAUCUUAUUCUUAUUCAUCCUAUUACUAAGAAUAUGACAUUUCUGUAUUUGGUUCGUACGGUCAUAUUAUUUAGUCAUGCUAUUUAAGAUUACAAAAAAAAUAUACAAUUAAUUUAUUUAUUUUUUAAUUAAUUUUAGAUAAUGCUAUAAAAAAUUUGAAAAAAAAGGAGAGAGAACAUAGGUUAGAGAGAGAGAUAUCAUAAUUAAAGAAAUAGAAAGAGAAAUGGAGUCGAGAUUAGAAAGAAUGAAAUAGUUGAGAUUUUAGAAAAAGAGGGAGAGAGAGAGCUUAGUUUAGAGAGAGAAAAAUAAUUGAAGUUUAAAGAGAAAAAGAUAAAUUUAGAUAGAGACAUAAGGUUAGAGUGUAAAGAAAAAUAAUACCAACUAGCCAGCGAGUAAAGAGAAAGAAAGAGAUUAGACAUAUUAUGAUUAUCCCGAUCCAUUAAUAUGAAGAUAUCCAUCCUCUCUCAAGGGAAUGAGAUUAGUAAUUUGGGAUAAAUCUCAUUCCCAAGUAAAUUUAAUAUUACCAACUAGAUUACUUAGUGCGUUUAGCCAAACACCGCUAUAUUUUUUUAUUCCUAUUCAAUUACUAGGAAUCUUAAAAAGAUAAUGCGAACCAAACGCACCCUGAAGGUAAUCUCGCCAUCAUAUAUAUAAAAUAAUAAAAUUUUAAAAAUUAUUUCUCAACUACGUGUAACCAAAUAAAUUAUUUGCAGUUGCAAUACUUUCUACUGUAUCCAACCAAACUGGAUAGUAGUUGCGACGGCUGCAUUUUCAACUAUAUGCAUCUCUAAUAUGUUACAUUUAUAAUUAUAUCUAACCGAAAGAUCCCGUUUGGUUUGGGGAUAACAAAAUUUAUCCUUACUAUUUGGACAAUAAAGUAUUUUUUUAUCAGAAUAUUUUAUUCUGAUUAAAUUAUAUUAUUUUCAAUUAUCACUGAAUGCUCAGAAUAACUUAUUCCACCAUUUUGAUCGAAUAGUGCUGUUCCAAUAUUUAAUUCCAAGUUUUAUUAAGAUUAUAUAUUAAAUUAAAGGAAGUUAUCUAGACAUUAUAUUAUAUAAUAAAUUAUUUUUAUUAUGUAAAUUAUUAAUUAUAUUAUUAUAUUAAAAUAUAUUAUUGGUACCUAAAUAUGAUAAUAAAUUAUACUUAAAUCUUCUAAUAAAUUAUUUUUAUUAAAUUUAAAUUUAAGUAGAAUUUUUUCAAGAUAUUAAUUUUAUGAUAACUUAUAAAAUAUACUAAUUAAAUCUGUAAAGAUAAAUGACACAUUCAAAUUUUAAAAGUUAAAGAGUCACUAAUUAAUUCAAAUCAAAUAAAUUAAAAAGUAAGUUGGUAAAAUUCAAAUUUUUUAAGAUUAAAUCGUAAAAUUUAAAUAGGUGAUAGUUGAAAUAAGAUUUAUAUAUUUUUACGAAGGUAAAAAGAGUAAAGUUAAGGCGCCUCUUUCAAACUGCCAAACAAUUGAGAAGGUAUUAUUAACAGUUAAUUCGGAAAACCGACCGUCCCUAGAGUAAGUGGCAAAGGGGUUGGUGGUUGGUAUCCGAGAUCCAAAUUCGAAUCCUAGUUGAUUCACAUUUCUAGCUAAGUUUAUUUCUAAAUGAAAUACACGAAGCGGGUAGCGUGCUAUCUAUCUCUAAAAAAAAAAAAACAGUUAAUUCGGAAAUAAAGUAUAGAGAGGGUAUUAUUAACAGUUAAUUGGGACAAAAGUAUAAAAACUUUUGAACUCCAGCCAAAUUUCUGAAUACAGGAUAAGUCAAUAUUCAAGUUUUAGAAGUGAUAAAAAGAGUUUUGCUAUAAUACCAUCGAUAGUAAACGGUUUGGUUUACUACCAAUUUGUUUUCGAUGAUGGAACUCUCAUAUUGAUGAUCGGCACCGUUAAAUAUGAUUUAAACCAUUUAAACUAUCUGGAAAUCAAAUUUUAUGUAUUUUCAAUAUUGUUCUCUUGUUUAUCAAGUGAACAAAAAAAUAGAUGGUUGAAAGUGAAUAUUCUUAUUUUAAAUAGUUUUAAGAAUUUUCUAACAAAAUUUUAGUUGAUUUGAGCUCUUCUAUACCGUUAAACGAGCAAACGCACCAUAUCAGCUAUUAAAAUUACAAAUUUUGUGACACUUUGAUUGUUCGGUUAGUGAUGUCAAAAAAAUCAUAAAAUUUGAUUUCUAAAUAGUUUAAAUGGUCUAGAUCAUGUUCAACGUGCCGAUCGGCGAUUAGAAAGCUUUAUCAUCAAAAACAAAUUGGUAGUAAACCGAGCAGUUUACUACCGAUAGUACCCAGUUAAUCUCGUGAUAAAAAUAUAGAAAACUUAUCAUAACUAUCAUUUAUUUGAAUUUGACUAUCUAAUUUUAAAAAUUUUGAUUUCACUAUUUGACCUUUUAAUUUAUUUGAUUUGAGUCAAUUAGUGACUCGUUAACUUUAAAAUUUUGAAUGCGCCGUUUAUCUUUACAUAUUUAAUUAGUAUAUUUUUUACAAUUUAUGUAAUUAUAAAAUUUAUUACAAUAAGUAAUUAGCUUAAAUUUUAAUAACAGUUGUACUCUAAAAACUUAAGCUGUUAGAUAACGGUGUUUAUAUAUUUAAUAUUUUUCUUUACGUCUAGGCUCCAGAUUUUUUUUUAUAAGACUUAUGACGUGGACUUGAAUUAAAUAAAAAAUAAUAAUAAUAAUGUUAGGAAUCUGGCAUGACUAAGGAUGCAAAUGGAUUCGGGUUGGUUGAGCUCCCGCCUCGGGGUGGCAAGUGGGAAUAAAAAAUAUAAAAAAAUAUAAUUCGCCCCAAAUCCGCUCCGAUCCGCUAAGUAAACAGGGUAGAAGGCGAGAGAUUCUUUUCUUCUUUCAAUUCGUCCUGAUCCGUCAAAAAUUCGCUCCUGCCCCGAUCCACCCUGAAUGGGGCGAAAAGUGGGAGCCAAAAAUAAAACGAAAAAUGACCCAACCUGAAUCCGCCCCGCCCAGCCCCGAAAUGGAGCGGGAAGGUGGGGAAACCCUCCUGCCCUCGGAUCUAUCCCGUUUGCAUNCCGCCCCGCCCAGCCCCGAAAUGGAGCGGGAGGUGGGGAAACCCUCCUGCCCUCGGAUCUGUCCCGUUUGCAUUCCUAGGCGUGACUCGAACAUAGAUAGGGCUGGCAAAUGAGUGAGCAGGCUCGUAUUCGACUCGAUAUUCGACUCGCCCAAGCUUGGCUUGAAAUUAAAUGAGCCGAGCUUGAACAAAAAAAAAAGCUCAAAAUUCAUUUCAAGUCGAACUUGAGUAUUACUCGGCUGACUUGAAUUAGGCUCGGUUGACUUGGUACUUUUAAAAGCAUAGAAGCUCAAUUCUAUAUAUAUAUAUAUAAUAUUUUAAUUAUAUAUAUGCUGAGUGAUCAACUUGAGUUUAGUUAAAAUUGGAUCAAUGUUGCUAAUCCAUAAAAACAAAUCCAAUAUGCCAACAAAAGAAUAAAAUUUUACUAAAUUUAUACUCUUUAUAAAUAAUUUGCAGAGGCGGUUUUAAUCGCCUUUAGAGGUUAAAUUUGUUAAGACAAUUUUAAUCAUCUUUAUAUUACUAAUAAAUUAUGAAUAAAAAUAUAUCUAAAAAAUAUUAAGUAUAAAUAUUGGGGCUGUUGAAACCACCUCUAUAUACUGCCUCUGAGCCUCUCCGACGGUCACUCAAACUAGUUUUAUAUCGUAGAUGUGUUAUCUACACCGACUGUCUACGAUAACUAAAAACCGUCUUUACGACCACCUUUUCUUAUAAUGUUUCUCUUUCUUUUUUCCAGAGAAUUUUAAAUUCUUAAUAUCUUUCUCUCUCUUUUUUUUUCUUUGUCUUUCAUUUCAAGUGACUAAGUCUAAAGCCCUCCAAGUUAUAAAGUAACAGCACGCGUCCACCGUUUCUUAGCUUGCCAUUAGCUAUGUGCUUGAGAAAAUAUACAAAAUUUUUUAAGCUAAAAAAUUAUUAUUUAUACAAAAUUUUGAUUUAGUUAUAUAUGAUUGGAUAGUUUAAUUUAAUAUUUACCUAUAUAAUUUAUUUAUUUUUUGAGUGCAUAGAUGAGAAAAAAUAAUAUGGAGAUUGAAGAAAGAAGAGAAGACAUGUGAGGCUGAAAUGAUUAGAUAUUUAAGUCAUAAGUUAAUUUUCUUUAUAUUAUAAUACUGUAUUUUAUAUAAUUAUUUUAUUUCAAACUAUUAAAUAUAUUUUUGUAUCAAAUUAUAGAUAAUGAUUAUACAAAUUAAACAAUUAAUCGUACGAUGUCGAGAAUUUUAAGCGGUUCUUUUAAGGCUCGAGCUCGCUCGACUCGAAAUUAGGCUCACUCGAGCUUGGCUCGAAUUAAUUUCAAACCGAGCUUGAGCCUAAAUUUAGAUUCGAAAUUAAUUUCAAGCCGAAUUUGAGCUGAGAUAAAUUUGUUCGAGCUCGGCUCGUUUCCACUCUUAAACUUAGAACCUCUUGACCUGACAUCAUGUGAAAUAAUUAUUAUAUACUCUAAAAAUUAAACUAUUAAACAAUGGUGUUUGUAUAUUUAAUAGGUUGAAUAGUAAUAUUAAAAUUUUAAAAAGAUUGGGUAAUGGGAUCACAAUGGAUAAUAUUUCAGAUAAGCUUUAUAAAUUUUUACUUAAAAGUAAAGAAAUAAUAUUUAUAAAUUAAAAAAGUACAACGAGCUGUUCGUAAUUUCAAAUCUUUGCAGGGGUGUCAGAUAAAAGUAUCCCUAAAAGCACCGGUUGAAAAACCAAGAACAAGAACCGGCGACCCACCAGGAUCCAUCCCAGCCAGCCAGCCAGCCGGCCAGCGGAGAGAAAAAGAGAGAGCGAGAAAAGAGGGAGGGAUGCAGGCCGGCGCGGGCCGAUCCCCUUCGGAUCCGGGGCGAAUGGGUUCGGCGGCGCAGCAGCAGCAGCAGGUGCCGGUGGUGGUGGCGCUGAACUGCCUGGAGGAGGUGUCGCUGGAGCAGGAGGGGCUGUCGGGCGUGGCGGCCGUGGAGCACGUCCCGCUCUCCCGGCUCUCGGACGGCCGGCUGGACUCGGCCUCGGCGGUGCUCCUCCACUCGCUGGCCUUCCUCCCCCGCGCGGCCCAGCGGCGCCUCCGCCCCUGGCAGCUCCUCCUCUGCCUCGGCUCCCCGGACCGCGCCGCCGACUCCGCCCUCGCCGCCGACCUCGGCCUCCGCCUCGCCCACGUCGACGCCAACCGCGCCGAGGAGGUCGCCGACACCGUCAUGGCGCUGCUCCUCGGCCUCCUCCGCCGCACCCACCUCCUCUCCCGCCACUCCUCCUCCUCCUCCUCCGCCUCCGCCUCCCCCUCGGAUCGCGCUCGAGGGUUAGAGGAGAUCCAUGCGAUCCCACGGAGAGGACGAGAUCUCGACGNCGCCACCCGCAGCCUCGCCUUCCGCAUGAGCGUCCUCUUCUUCGACCCCCGCCACCACCACCACCACCACCACCAGGUCCCUCCUCCUCCUCCUCUUACCAAUUCCCACAUUUUGCCCAAAAAUGCCCCAAGAAUUAGGGUUUCUUUGAACUAAAAAUGGCCAAAAAUCUUCAGAAAUGAGAAACACUGAAAAGAAAAAAAAAAAAAAAAGGACUUUUGUCCUUAGUUAUUCUACUAUUCUACUAUCAGGAGAAUAACCUAACCUUGGGAUAAAGAUGAUUAUUUUUUUACAGUCUCAUUCCCCCUAAAUUGCGUUUUCUUUUCCUCGGACAACUUCUAAAAGGUUCUUUACAGUACCUGCUGUCAUAAAACCGGAUCUAUUUUUCUCUUCCUUUUUUUUUUUUUUUUUUUUUUUUUUUUUUUUUUUUCUGUUGUUUCCCUGCAUGGAAUGUGCAUCCAGUUUUUUAGUUGGGAUUUGGUUAGGUUUUUCUUCAUUCCUUCUGUUAUUUCUUAAUCUGUAAACUUAUCCUGAUUGCUUGCAAUUCCUUAUCUUUGUACUAAGUGGAGUCCGUAUCAAUCUUUAUGAACUUGUCCUGCUAUUUUAUGCUUGUGAUUUUGGUCCCUGUUUUGCUGAAUAUCGAGUCUUGAACAUCAUUUCAACUCUAUCUCACAAUUGUCAAGGGAAAGGGAAAGACCAGACGGCCUACCAUUGCGUUCCCCCCUGCUGCCAGGAGGAUGGAUACUCUCAAUGACUUGCUGGCGGCGAGCGACCUCGUCUCGCUUCAUUGUCAGCUGACGAAUGAUACAAUGCACAUACUUAAUGCCGAAUGCCUGCAGCAUAUAAAGCCUGGUAAGUUCAGUGGUUUUUCCCAUUCGAGUUUCCCAGUUGCUAAUAUAACAGUAACGCUCCCUUAAACUGGAAAGAAUUUGUUUUUCUGCAGGGGCAUUUAUAGUCAAUACGGGUAGCUGUCAGCUCAUAGACGAUUGUGCGCUCAAACAGCUUCUGAUUGAUGGCACUAUAGCCGGUUGUGCUUUGGAUGGAGCCGAGGGUCCGCAAUGGAUGGAAGCAUGGGUAUGAGCAUUAACCUUGGGGGUAUGAAUUAUUUCUUAUUGAUUGUGCUGCACCGAGGAAUAAUAUACGGCCUACAGUCAUUUCUAGCAUAUCUGACUAACAAUGCCCUUCGAAUGAUAUCCGGAUACAGGUGCCAUCUGUCCGGAUGGAAAAGUUCCAUUUCUACCUCACUUGCCAGGGACAAGAUGAUAGCUUGCAUUUCCGGAAACUUAAAUACUCAUGUCUUAGAGGAAUCUUCUGAAGAUAUAAGGAGUUGAAGAAGGAAAAGAUAUAUCUAACCAAACACUAUUAUCAGGAUUAAAGAUUAGUUGCCAUUGUUGUUUUGUUGUUUUAUCGAGCCUAAGUGUGCUUCCUGUGAAGACUAGAAGGAAUCUGACGUUGAAACAGUUGUCUUAGUCCAAAAAUGCCUGCUUUAAUGGCUUUAAAGUACUGUGUUAUAGUGUCUUUGCAGAUGUAAAAUCUACAUGCACACUUUGGCACUAUUAUGAUGAUAACAUGUACAGAUUAAUGUGUGGACGUAACAUUUAGUAGGUUUUUUGAGGGUAUUUAGAUUAUUAAGUUGGGGUGUGAUUGCCUGAAUAAUUUUCACUGUCGCUGCAUUUUGCUCUAGCAAUAACAGUUCACAAGCUUGACAUAUUGGGAAAUGAAUCCUUUAUUAGCUUGCUCUGUGGAAUCUUUUUUCUUUUUUUUUUUUUGGCUUUUACUGUAGGUUCUAAUGCAACUUCUGUACUAAGAAGUGCCAGUUUCUCUUAGACUAAUUAACUUCUGUAGAUCAUGAGAUCAUGCAUUAUCAGACUGUUAUUAAUGAUCAUGCUAUGACUAUAGGUAUUUGGCGAAGUUUUUAGUGAAUUUUAUGUUUAUCUUCUGAUACCUUGUUCGUACCUUGGUUAACUUUCAGGUGAGAGAGAUGCCCAAUGUCAUAAUUCUUCCUCGGAGUGCAGAUUAUAGUGAAGAAGUAUGGAUGGAAAUAAGGGAGAAAGCAAUUACAAUACUGCAAUCGUUCUUCUUCGAUGGAAUUGUUCCCACCAAUGCUGUUUCUGAUGAAGAUGAAGAAAUAGCAGAGGCUGAAAUUGAAGAUGACCAGUUGGAGAGACGACUAAAGGGAAGCCCCUCUCAGGUUUGUGAGGGUGAGCAACAAACAGAUGAAAGUCAUUUAAGUUCAGAAUAUGACAAGAAAAGAGCCAUUGCUCUGUCAAAAGAGUCUCAAGCUUCAGGUCUAUCUCAAAACGUAGGCUCCAGAUCUGAAGGCAAACGCAGCAAAUCAGGAAAGAAGGGUAAAAAGAGGCCUGCUCGUCGUAGAUCACAACAGAAGUCAGAUGACUUUUCAGCUGUGGAGAGUGAUGGAAACUAUAUUUCACAUCGAGAUGAUGACACUGCCAUCAGUGGCAGAGAGCAAAGUUCACGGUUUGCUUCUCCUGAGGAUUCAAGAACCAAGCAGAUGUCUCUUGCUGAAUCAACAAUGGAGAUAACUCCUGAAAAGCCCAUGACAGCAAGCGCAGGGCUUGGUAGAAAACCUGGUCGGUUGUUGAAGGAUGGUUUUGUUAUAGCAUUACGUGCAAAAGAUCAUUCAGGGUUUCACAUUUCUAGGCAGAGAGUUGCCAGUGGUGGGUGGUUCCUUGACACUGUGUCGAAUGUAACGAAAAGGGAUCCUGCUGCACAAUUCUUAGUUUCUUUUACAAGCAAGGUAGUUGUAGUGAAAAUUUCCACUGUAUACUUACUUUUGUGAUUCUCUCUUACUGAAUUUUGGCUCCAUCUUUUUAGGAUACUCUUGGAUUACGUUCUUUUGCUGCUGGUGGAAAACUAUUGCAGGUUAGAAUAUUUGGCUUUGCUUUGAUUCAAUCGCUCUUUCAUUUAAUGUGUUAAGGUUAUCGUUGGAGGCUGGUAUUUACAGAGGUAGCAGCCCUUAAUCUGACAUUGACUUAGACCCUUUCGGCAAACCUCACCCUUGCCUGAGGAAAAAGCUAGCUGCACUAUGAUAUCUGGAUAAUCUCAUGCAUUGAGACACCCUAUCCGAGUUCUUAAAAGUUAAAAGUAAAACCUAAAGAUAGUUGAAGUAGGCGCCUAGAGUACCUUUGGUUACUCCAUUGAAUGUUAUGCCUACAAUUUUGUCCUAUUUGUCCCAUGGAGUUAGUAAGUAAUUCUCUUUGUGCUAAUAAAUCACUUGAUAACUUCUAUCAUUCUAUUGAUUUGUUCAUAUGUAGAUGUAAUAAUUUGUUUCAUGCAAUAUCAGAUUAAUAGGAGAAUGGAGUUUGUAUUUGCAAGCCAUACUUUUGAUGUUUGGGAGAAUUGGAUGCUGGAAGGUUCGGUGCUUGAAGACUGUAAACUCGUUAACUGCAGAAAUUCGUCGGUAUGUAUUUAUCUUCUUUAUCUUUUGAAGGCACAUAUCUUUCUCUAAUUCGAUUCUUAUGAUCAUGCUAUUUUAAGUUCUCAUUCAAAAUAUGUUGGUUUGUUACUAAAUUUUAAUGAACUCCUGAUUUUUUUAAAAGAACUUCUACCCUAUAUUUUCUAGUUUACUGGACAUAAAACAUCCCAUGUCAUGGGGCAUAUUGUAGAACUCUGUUUAGCAGUGUUGCAAAUUAUAUAGCUUCAACAGGUAGCAUACUGUUCCUACCUACAGCAACUGAAGAUCUAUUGCUCUUUGUGAUCCCUAUUUGUGACAUUUUUGCACCUAUUCCGAUUUGUUCUAGCUUUCAACGUAGAAAUCAAGUUGCUGGAGUAAUUUUUAGAUGAACUUGAUAUGCUGAUUAUUAUAUGCUAUUGCACUUUAAACGAGAGAUCAUCUCCAUUCUAGCACCAAAGAUUGUCAACAGUGUAUAUCAGCACUUUUUUUUCCCUUUCCACUUACCAGCAAGCCACAAAUACAUGGUUGAAUACAAUAUUCUCGUGUGGAUUACGGUACUUUGUUUUUGGAGAAAAAGCAAAGAGGUUAAUGUCCUGGAAGUCAGAUAACUAUCUUUGUUGCUUCCUCUAUUUGGUUGUGAAUGUUCGUGGUCUUCAUUUGCUUGUAUUGCCGCUUAAAGUACUAUCUUGAAACUGAUAGAGCCUUAUGGGCCUGUUUGGCCUAGCCGUGGAGCGUAGGGCGGUUGAAAAAGUACUUUAGGAAAUAGUGUGGUGCUGGAAAAAAAAAAAAGAAGCUGCAGAGAGCGUUUGGUUAUUUUUGUUAGAAGUAUUGUCUAUUAUAGAAAGUUGUUUGAUGAAAAGUUUGUUAAAUUAUUAUAAACUAGUAUAAAGUGUAUUAAAAGAGAUUAACUUGCGGUCCCAUUAAUUAUUUUUAAUAAUUUUAAAAUUUGAAUUUAUAAUUAAAAAUUAAUUUUUAAGUCUAAAUUGAAUUUAAAAUUUGAAUUCAAAUUCACAUUUUGUAUUUGAAAUUCAAAAUAAAAAAAUUAAAAUAUGAAUUUAAAAUAAAUUUGAAUUUCAAAAUUGAAUUUAAAUUUAAAAUUCUAAUCCAAAAUAAAAUUUAAAUUUAAAAUAUGAAUCCAAAAUUAAUUUAAAUUCAACUUCAAAAUUAGAAUUUAAAUUUAAAAUUGGAACCCAUCAAAUUUAAAUUAAAAAAAUACAACCAUGAAUUUUAAAAUUUAAUUCAAAAUAUUAUUUAACUUUAAAAUUAAAUUUUAAAUAUGAUUUAAAUUUAUAAAUUUUAAAUCAAAAAACUUAACUUCCGAAAAAUAAAUUAGGGGCCGAAUAAAAAAACUUGCAAACAUUGAGUGCCGAUGUUAUAAUAAAUCCAAAGUUUUUUUUUUUUAUUUUGGCCCCCAAAACUAACUUCCCCACCUCCAGAAAGAAAGUUAUGUAACACGUGAAAUAAAGAUUGAGAAAAAUCCACCUUCUUUUCUUUAUUUUAUUUUUUCAUUUUAUUUAUUUAUUUUUAUUUAAUCUUAUUUAACUUUAAUAUUAUUAUUUAAUUAUUAUUAUUUAUUUUAUUACAUUAUUCUAUUUUAAUAAUAGAAUUUAUUAUUAUAUUAUUAAUAUAGAANAAAAAAAAAAAAUGAUCUUGGAGAUUGUGUAAUGCUUACUCUCAAACUCUUUGUUUACACAGUAGUGAUAUUCUUUGUUUCCCUUUUUAUCUUUGGAUUCUUAUCUAAUGAUCCAGGACGCAAUCCUGGACGUGAGGAAUAAAAAAUUUCUAGUUUUUUUGCUUUUUUCUAAAUUAAUUCUUAAUAAUCUUAUUUGUUUCAUACAUUUAACUAUGAUAAAAUCAAGUUAUGAGAAUCUUUUCAAAUUCGAAAAUCCCAAGUGAUCAGAGAAAGCGGAAAGAGAGGGAUUCGAACCCUCGGUACAAAUAAUUCGUACAACGGAUUAGCAAUCCGCCGCUUUAGUCCACUCAGCCAUCUCUCCUAAUUCCAAAUUGAAAAUUUGUUAUGUGAUGUAACACGUGAAAUAAAGAUUGAGAAAAAUCCACCUUCUUUUCUUUAUUUUAUUUGUUCAUUUUAUUUAUUUAUUUUUAUUUAAUCUCUACCGCAAUAACUCCAAUGUUGGCCCGGCAAAUAGGGAUGUCAAUGGGUACGGAUACCCGAAAUUUUAUCUGAACCCGAACCCGAACCCAAACCCGAACGGAGCGAAUUUACCUUAUGCUAAAUGGAUAUGGUUUCGAAUAUGGAUAUCAAAAAUAAAAAUCCGAUGGAUAUGGAUACGGAUAUGGAUUUUGACUGUACCUGAUCCGAACCCGAUUCGAACGCGAAUUUAUUUUACAUUAUAAUAUGUAUAUAUAAUAUGUAUAUGAAAAUUUGAUAUUAUAUUUGAAUUUGUAUUUUAAAAGUUUAAACUUAAUAUAAUAUAUUUUGAAAUAUUGAAAAGAGAUAAUUGUUUCUGGUUUGGAUUUUCGGGUUCGGGUUUCGAGUUUUUGGUCGGAUUCAGGUCUGGAUAUGAAUUUUUAAAAUCUGUCGGGUUUGGGUUUCGGGUUUGGAGUCGAUAUCGGGUUCGGAUUUUUGAAAACCCGUUCCGAAUCCGACCCAUUGACAUCCCCGCCGGCAAAGGCCGGGCCAAACGGGUACUGUAUUCUUUUCUUUUUUUAGCUGUGAUUAACAAUUUACUUUUAUUAUGGUUCGACUGAGUUCAGGCCAUCUUGGAUGUACGCAUCGAUAUUCUUGCAGCCGUGAGCGAAGAAGAUGGAAUCACGCGGUGGCUCGAUUAACUUUUUCGCGGCAAAAAUGCUUCCCUGCGAACGGACUGAUGUCGGGAUUGUUUUCCUAUUUAUUCACUUCAUGACAUGCCAAAAAAUUUUGGAUGCUGCGGUUGUAGGGGCUUGUGGCCUUAGAAUGUGCCAGUUUGUAUUGCUUCCAAUAUUAACUAAGACUGGGAUAUUGUGUACUUGUUUAAACAUGUUCUUAUUUUGGCCUCGCGAAGUUUCUAACUUUUUGGAACCAAAAAUUAGUAGCUUGUUUUUUUUUUUUUUUUUUUUUUUUUUUUUNUGUUUUAAAUUUGCAAUUGAAUUUCACAUUUACUUUUAAAUUUGAAUUUCAAAAUUGAAUUUAAAUUUAAAAUUCUAAUCCAAAAUAAAAUUUAAAUUUAAAAUAUGAAUCCAAAAUUAAUUUAAAUUCAACUUCAAAAUUAGAAUUUAAAUUUAAAAUUGGAACCCAUCAAAUUUAAAUUAAAAAAAUACAACCAUGAAUUUUAAAAUUUAAUUCAAAAUAUCAUUUAACUUUAAAAUUAAAUUUUAAAUAUGAUUUAAAUUUAUAAAUUAAAAUUAAAUUUUAAAUAUGAUUUAAAUUUAUAAAUUUUAAAUCAAAAAACUUAACUUCUGAAAAAUAAAUUAGGGGCCGAAUAAAAAAACUUGAAAACAGUGAGUGCCGAUGUUAUAAUAAAUCCAAAGUUUUUUUUUUUUAUUUUCGCCCCCAAAAGUAAUUUCCCCCUCUCCAGAAAGAAAGUUAUGUAACACGUGAAAUAAAGAUUGAGAAAAAUCCACCUUCUUUUCUUUAUUUUAUUUUUUCAUUUUAUUUAUUUAUUUUUAUUUAAUCUUAUUUAACUUUAAUAUUAUUAUUUAAUUAUUAUUAUUUAUUUUAUUACAUUAUUCUAUUUUAAUAAUAGAAUUUAUUAUUAUAUUAUUAAUAUAGAAAUUGGAAAUAUUCUAAAAUAUUCUAAUAAAUAAUAGAAAUUAUUUAAAUAGUUAUUUAAAUUUAAACUUAAACAAAGUAUUUAAUAUUUAAAUAAAAUAAAAAGGAAGGUAUAUAUUUAUACUAAAUAAAAAUAUAUAUAUAUAUAUAAAUAUAUUAUAGUAUAAAUUGUAUAAGAAAAUAUGUAUAAGAAAAUAAAUAUAAGAAAAAUAAGAAAAAGAUAGAAAAAAGCAAUUGAUCAGGAAUUUAAUAUAGAUAAUGACUCAAAAUGGAUCUCCUCAAUAGAAAGAAUAUCUUAGUUCUUUGAUUUUAUACGAAAGGUUUAUUCUCCCGGCCUGAUCCGCUUAAGUACUGGCCGGGACAUUUAUUCUUUUAUUCCAAUGAAUCCUUCAUAGAUCAAACGAUUAAAUUUGGAAUUUAUAUCAAUCAAAAAUACUUGUUAUUGAAGCAACAACAACAAGAGAAAUUUCCAUUAUCAUUCCUAUGAUCGAAGUCCCAUUUAUUAUUAUUUAAUUUAAUAUUUCUUUUUUAUUCUUCUUUUUUUUUAUUGAAGAUUCUUUUUUUCUUUUUCUCAGUUUAUUACUUAAUUUCUUACUGUUGUCAAGUAAGGAAUAAAAAAACACAUAUGAUAACAUAUCAUAUAUAUAUACAUUAAACAAUAUUAAAUUACAUUUAACAAUUUUAAAUAUUUAAAAUAUUUCUAUUCUAACAUAUUUCUAUUCUAAUAGAAUAGAACUCAAUAUAACUCAUUUACUUCUUCAAGAGACAAAAUUGGAACAGUUGAGAUUCAAUUGACCCGAAUUCAUAAGAUCUGGCACUGGCAGUUGAAAAGAAGGUGAAAAAAGGGGGGUCCAUGUAUACAGAAUUUCGAAUUUUUAUAGUCUAGCUUCAAUCACCCCUUCAGGCGGGAACCAUUAGUUUAGUAAUGACUUCCCAGCAAACGAAAAGCUUACCUUUUUAUGUUAUGCUAUUUAAAUUUAAUUAUGUUAUUUAAAUAAGCUUUCCGCUCUUCGCUUAGCUUCUUUUUAUUUUUAUUUUAUUUAAGUCCCCGGCGAGACAAAAUACGUGUCAACGCUAGAAUUUUCACGAUUCUGAUGCUAUCUUGAUUUUGUCUCACCCCUUUUUUUGUUCGACAAAUGAUCCAUUCGUAUACAAUAAUGAAUAUGUAGCGGGUAUAGUUUAGUGGUAAAAGUGUGAUUCGUUCUAUUAACAACUUAAAUAGUUAAGGGGUCCAUCGGUUUUUUUUUUNACUAAGACUGGGAUAUUGUGUACUUGUUUAAACAUGUUCUUAUUUUGGCCUCGCGAAGUUUCUAACUUUUUGGAACCAAAAAUUAGUAGCUUGUUUUUUUUUUUUUUUUUUUUUUUUUUUUGGAAUUAUGUGUUGGAAUCAUCUUUUAGCUUUGUACUCAAUGCUGAGGAAUCUUAACUCCCUGGAGAGGGUCUUGUUGAUUGCUGCUGAAGCAGCCCAGUGAUUUUCAUUUGUGUUCUCUCUUUUGUUGGUUCCCUC